rnacentral:lncRNA from 1 species
CUCAAAUUGAUAAGUUUGAAUCUAAAUAUAUAUUUCUUUAUUACAAUAUAAUUUCUAAAUUAGAAUCAUUGACUAAUUAAGAUGAUUUAUUUUUGUAUAGCUUUUCAUCGUAUAAGAACUAAUAAAUAGAGUACUUUAAAGUAGUUAAAUAUUAUUUCAACAAAUAUCAAGAAAAGAUUUUAAUUUAUAUGGUGAUGUAAGAGCUAUUUAUUUGUUGAAGCACAAUCUGAUGUGAUCGUGGUGAUUAUAGUUGGUGGAGGUAGUUUGUGGUUAUUUGAUGGUGGCCAGAGAUGAUGAAUUGUGGUGGUACAUAGCUGGUUGUAAGGUGGUUGGUGCGCGGUGGAUAAUUACGGUAAAGGUGGGUGGUCGUGUGUAUUAAUAGUUAAUGAUCUUGAGAUUUACUUUUCUUCUACUCUGUGAUCCAAAUUGAUGAUAGAUUAUGUUAACUUUCUCUUCUAUAGUCUAAAAAUAUUUUAUAGUAUUUACUUCCUUUCAAGUCGAAUGUUUAUUAAUUACAGAAUAUUUAGUUUUGUAUCUGUAAGAAAAAUACAUUAUUCUCCUUAUUUUAUUCUCUUUAGUUCUCUAUAAAUAGAGAUUUAAUCUUUUAUUUUCAAUGUAAGAAACCAUUUAAUAAUUCAACGCCAUAUGUUAUUGUUUUUUCUCUUCAAUUUUUCUUCAUGUCUCAUCCAUUACAUAACAAAUGAUAUGUGGAGGUUGACAAUGGUGGUGAAAUUAACCAUUGAAAAUGACUGUUACUGAAGGUGAUUGGUGGCGAUGACUGGUGUUAGAGACGAUAGAUGUUUUAUUUUGGAUUUUGAUGAUUUACAAACUAGUGUGCAAGAGACCUAGUCCUUGUUGUGUUGAUUCAACGACAAGACAACUUCGUAUAGCUGUAAACUGUAUUGUCUGUGUUUUGGUUGGUAGUGUUGGGUUCGAAAUUAAGAGGACAUCAUGCGGAAGCUACUAGUUGCAAACUAUGAGAUGAUAAAUCACACUACAAAAAAAAUAAUACUAAAAACAUAAAAUUAUUAUAUGUGUUGGCCAAUUGGCCUACAUAUUAUAAAACCUAAUAUUAAAAAACAUAAAAACUAAUGAGAGAGAAAAUCUUCCCCUAAGAAAAACUCUUAAACGACUACAUUGUAAAUGUUAUGGUGUUAUGGUAUGAGAAGGGGAUCUUCUAUUUAUAGAUGUCCAAAACCUUUCCUCUAAGAAAAAGGUUUGCCAAAUAUGAAAAAGUUUUAUAUUUUCCUUUCAGGAAAAGUAAAAGUAAUUAUGGUAUUACUUUAUUUUUUUCAAGAAAAUUAAACCUUAAACUUGGUAAGAAAAUCUAGGAAAAAAACCUAACAAAUCUUUUUUUUUUGGCUUGAUUUUCUUGCCAUAAUUUGAUCCACCUUCUUUGCGUGCAUGAUCUUUGUUCUUUACAUAAUCUUCAUUACUGCUGCUUGUCAUGGUUAAAAAUAAAGUUUAAAAUAUUAUGGGUUAAAAAUGAUUUAAAAAAUAUCUUAUCUUUAUUUUUAAGGAUGCAGCAAUAGAAAUCUUGAAAAUAUGCUCUAAACUCCUUUUCCACAUGUAGCUAGACAAAGAUCUUCAUCAUCAUCAAAUUAAUUGAAACUUUAAUAUUAGCAUGUCUUCAACCUAAACAAAUGGACCUUUGAACCACAGGCUCUGAUACCACUUAUUGGGUUCAAAAUUGAGAGGACGUCAUAAGAAAGUUACUAGUUGCAAACUAUGAGACGAUAAAUUAGACAACAAAAAAGUAAUAGCAAAAAGAUUAUUAUAUAUUUUGGCCAACUGGCCUACAUAUUAUAAAACAUAAUAUUAAAAAACAUAAAAACUAAUGAGAGAGAAAAUUCCCCCUAAACAAAACUCUUAAAUGACUAUAUUAUGAAUGUUAUUGUGUUAUAGUAUGGGAAGGGGGUCUUCUAUUUAUAGAUGCACAAAACCUUUCCUUCAAGAAAAAAGUUUGCCAAAUAUGAAAAAGUUUUAUAUUUUUUUCAGGAAAAGUAAAAGUAAUUAUGGUAUUACUUUUAUUUUUCUUUCAAGAAAAGUAAAACUUAAACUUGGUAAGAAAAUCAGGGCAAAAACCCUAACAGGUAGCACUGUAGCGGAAAUAUAGUUGGCCCGGUAAACCUCGACCAAUGGCAUGCCUCCUAGUUUUUACUCUCUCUUAUAAAAAGAACAAGUGGUAAGAGCAAAACCUGAUUUUUUCAAUCAACAUCUAUCUCUCAAGCAAAAGCCAUUUCACGAAAAGAACAUUGCUUACAUUCAACAAGAGACCUGAUUAAGUAUUGUCCAGUCUUUGUUGAAUCUUUGAGUCUUGUAUCUUUUGUUCUUAAAUUAUAAAUCUACUCUUGAGUGAUAAAGAAUAGUAGAUAUUUUGAUUUGUCUAAGUCUUUAGGUUGAGUUAUAUUAGCUAGAGUUAGUUAGUCGAAUCAUCUUUUGUUUAGCCAAGUCUUCUUUAUCAUACUUGAUGUUUUCUUGGAUAAAGUUACCUAGGAGUGUCAACUAGAGUUAGUUGGUGAGUGGAUAGAGUAGAGGUACUGCAUAGGUCCUGUAAUAGAGGUGUUACAAGGUGGAUAGGAUUAAGAGUUUAAUCAUUUGUUAUUACUCGAAUUUGUAAUUACAAGUUGCUUGAAGUUAGUGGGUUGGUGGAAAAUCCUACUUCAUAGGUCGUGAUUUUUCCUUCCUUAAGUAAGGAAAUCUCCACGUAAAUAUUGUGUGUCUUUUAUAUUUCAUCACUUUACUUUAUAUCUUGUUUAGUUACUAAUUUUGUGUGUCCAAGGACUUGAUCACUUGACUCGUAGUGGACUCAUAUAAACCAACAAUUGAUAUCAGAGUGAAUACUCUCUAAAUGAUUAACUCCUAGAGAGAACCUACAUUGAUGGUUGAUCCACCCAAUCUAGAGAAAAGUCAAUCAACCACCAAACCUCCCUAUUUCAAUGGACAAUGCUAUAGAUAGUGGUAGACUCGAAUACACAACUUCAUAAUGGUUGAAGAUAGUGAGAUAUGAGAUGUUAUUCUUGAUGGACCAUAUGCUCCCAUAAAGAAAGUUAUUGAAGGAGAGACUACAAUACUGGUUCUUAAGUCACAUAAGGAAUAUGAGGAAGUUGAUCGAAAGAAGAUCGAAAAAAAUUUCAAAGCUAAGAACUUGCUUCUGUGUUAAAUAGGUCCCAACGAGUACAAUAGAAUUUUUGCAUGUGAAUCUACUAAAGAGAUUUGGGAUUUCUCGAGAACUAUCAAAGAGUACAAAGUGGAUAUACUCACUACAUAAUAUGACUAUGAAGGAAACUGAGACUUUCAAGAGAUGCACACCAAGUUUAAUGCAAUUACAAAUGAGUUGCAUUAUCUUGGAGAAGUGAUCUUACCAAGUAAGCAAGUGAGAAGGAUAAUUAGUAUUCUGCCAAAUUCAUGGGAGAGUAAGGUCAAUACAAUAACAGAGGAUCGAGAUCUCAAAACCCUCACCAGAGAUGAAUUGAUUGAUAAUCUGAAAACUUAUGAACUCAAAAGGCAGCAAGAUCAAAAGAAGAAAAAAACUAAGAAAGAGAAAAUCUUAUCUCUCAAAGCUUUAAAAUCUAACUCCAGUUAAGAAGAUUAGGGUGUGUCUUACUUAGCUUGAAGAUUCAUAAAAACUAUGAAGAAGAAUAAAGGAUUUUAGAAGAAGGAGACAAUUAGCAAAUCUCUUAAUGAAAAUGAGUGUUGUCAUAAAUGUCGUAAACUGGGCCACUUUAUCAAGGACUUUCCAAUGAAUAUGAUGGAUUACAAAGAUUAUUCCAAGGCUAGAGGUGACAAAUUCAAAUGGAGGGAUCAAGUUCCAAACAAUUCCAAAAGAAGAAAUGCAGCAGACUAUGUUGUCAAACAAGCCAUUGUUGCCUGAGGGACUCAUCUGAUGAUUCUGAUAAGUCAGAGCACCUUGAAGAUGCUUCUACAAUGUCCAUGGAAGAGGAUGACAAUAUUUUCAACUCUCAUUUUACUCUCAUGGCAAAAUUAUAUGAUGAUGAAGACAAAUAGGUAACCCUUCCUGACAUUAAGUAAAAACCUUAAUGACUAUUCAUUGAAAAAACAAAAAAGGUUAGCAAAUGUGCUGGUUGAUUCUCUUUGUGAGUUCACAAUAGAGAAUAUUUUCUUGAUGAGAGUCUAGAUAGUCUUGAAAAUGAAAAAAUAAUUUUAAGUAUUCAAAUUUUUUAGUUGGGAUAAAAUUUUCAUAUAAUGACUUCUAAAAAUGCUGAAAUGAAAGAAAGGUUAAGAAAGUUUUAUGAGUCUAUUUUAAAGAGAAAUUUUAAGACAAGUAGUAUUAAAUUUGAGUUUGAAGAAAGGUUGAAAAAUCCCAAGAACAUCUUGCUGCCUCUCUUAAAGAAAUGCAGAACUAGAAAGGGACUUGGUCUGUGUUAAGAAGGACUUAACAAAUCUCUGAAAUAGACUAAUUCAUCCCAAACUCUAGCUAAGUUGAUUAUUCAAAGUUCUAAUAAUGGCAAGGGUCUGGGUUUUCAAAAAUUUAAUCCCCCUUAUAAUUCUCACAGUAAAUAUGUGUCAGCGUUUAACAAUUUAUUAUGCAAUCAUUCUGAAAGAAAUAAUAAUCUUAGAAAGGAUUGUCAAGCCAAGUUAAGGGAUGAAAAGAGUCUGACUAAUUAUGUUGAGUAGGAGGACUACUUAUAAAGAAACUUGAUCCUCUUUCAAAACUUGAGAAAACUAGGUCUCCUGCUUGGACCAAAAAGGUCUUGAUUGCUCCUAUAUCCCCUAUGGGAACUGUCAUGACCUGAACUAGGUCCUGGCCAUGACGGAUAGCUCAAGUCGACCAAGGAUCGGAGAUCACCCCCUUUGCCUAGCCAAAUAGAGCAUAACACGCCUGACAAUGACUGAAUUUCAAAUAUAUAACAAGAUAAAAAGUAAUGAGUUUAAAGACAUCUAAGAGUGUCAACAUCAAUAUCCAGCCAUAGUAAUAUCCACAAAGCCUCUACACAAUAAAACCACCUAGGUCGGGACGUGCCCCCGAUUUUGACAAUGAUAGUGACAAUGAUAAUGUUAACGUAAAGUCCUUAGUUCUAGUCAUGGAAGGAAACCUAUGGAAUGAUCAAGUAUUUUGGAGAAUGGAAGCUCACCACUCCACGCAAACGCCUGACUAAUUAAGUAAAUCCACCUAAUACAAUGUAGGAAAGUAGGAUUGCCUUCGGAACCUGUAUCGCGUAGGGAUACACCAUCUGAGAAUGGUUAGUGUGAUGAGCACUAGCAUGAAACUCUGGAUAAGGGUAAAAUAAUGUCAAUCGAAAGUUCAAUUUCAAACUCACUGUACAUGUUCACAUACACGCAUACAUAUAUAUAUAAUAGAAGUUAGGGUAGGGAACAAGGUUUAGCAUAAAGUAAAAUAUUAUCCUAGACUAUGUAGCUCAACCGUCAUAAACUGAUACCCACAAGCUAUAUGGGUUCAGCUUUUCCUGCUGAAAAGGCCCCUGUGUGUGUUAGUCGCACAAACUGGAGGUAUCAAGAAAGACCAGGGAAUGACCUGACCCCACAUCAAUCCAAGAUACAAAUAUAUAUCAAUAGUAUGAAUUGUGCACACGGUCAUUAAGACCAACCCUAACGUCGACAAACAUGAGUUUCCAAUACAAGUCAUUAGAGACCCGCACCUUCAUGGCUUAGCUACAUAACCCUCAUUAAUCCUAAUUGAAACAAGUUUCACAUAACCCAUUCAUCAACCAAGGAAUUACAUAUUAAGGCACACUAUAGGUAUAGUCAUGCCAUUUAGUUUGCUAGCUCAUAAUUAUGCCAUUACAAUUCCAUUAACUUGGGGAAUGCCUCGACCCCUUUUGUUCAUUAAAUUAAUUUGGAGUAAUGUCUCGACCUCCUUUAGUUAAAGUAUCACAAUUGUGAAGAAAAAUCACCCUUGAUAGCUCUAAGUGACCAACUUCUUGGAAACCCUAAGUGUUCUUAAUCUUAAGGAUCUGAGAGAGAUUGUAAAGUUAUUUUUAUUUGUUUUUGAGUGACAAUAACAUCCUAAAGGGGUUUUAAGUCGUGGUUCACAAUUGGGUAUGGGGGAAAUGUCCCAAAUACCCUUAAUGAAACACUAAAAUAUUAUCAUCCAAUCAUUACGGAUGACCUUACGACUCGUAGAGACUCGUUACGACCCAUCACCACGAGUCAUAAUCAAGAUAGUAGCUGAAGGACACUUUUUUAGCGACUCUGUGAUUCAAACCAUACGACUCGUCAAGUAACCCUAUGACUCGUAGGGUCAAAUUUAUAUCUAGGACAGAAAUACUUAAGGCACACAUUGGCUUGGCUAUAGAUGGGACAAUAUAACUCAUAACGAGUCUUUACAACUCGUGAACUCAAGUCGUCACCAAGGCAAUAACCUAGGCAAAACUCUUUGGACAUCUUAUGAUUUGGGUACUACGACCCGUCAUGACACCUACAACUCAAAGGGUGAGUCGCAAUAAGCCCAUAGUUUAAGAAAUUUUUCAAGGACCAAAAUACGGGGUGUUACAGGAACUUAAACUUAAAUAGGUUUCCAAACCUAAUAAAUAAUCCUCAUGUGCAGGUAAGAGUAAGAGAAAACAAUCACAGUUGGUUCAUGGAUAGUGGAUGUUCCUAGAAUAUGACCUGGAAAAAUUGAGUGCAUUCUCACGCAAGGCAUUUCAAGAUGGAGGUGUCUCAUGUGGAGAAAAAAAGUAGGAUAUACCUUAGUUUUUUGAAAAAUUAAAAGAUCUUUAAACUAUGCUAUCGAGAAUGUGUACUCCCUCUGUUUCAAAAAAAAAAAUGACCUACUUUUAUUUUUAGUUCAUUUAAAAAAUAAUGACCCCUUUCCCUUUUUAGUAUUUUUUUAAUUUUAACUUUCUACAUGGCAUGUUUAAGACCACAAGAUUGAAGGGCAUUUUAGUACAUUUGACAUAUCUUUAUUUUAAUACCACAAGAUUCAAAAGUCUUCUUUAUUUUCUUAAACUCCGUGCCAAAUCAAACUAGGUCAUUCUUUUGAAACAGAGGGAGUAUUAUGUGAGUGGACUAAAAUAUAGUCUACUCAUUAUCUCUUAAAUUUAUGAUAAGAAAAUUGAAGUUAAAUUUUGUCUGAUUAUUGCACUAUCGCCAGUCUCUAAUUUGGUGAAGUUAUUCUUAGAGCCAAAAGGUGAAAGAACAUGUAUGUUGCUAAUUUGAAUUCAGGUCCUAGUGAUGAUCUCAUUUGUUUUAGUUCUCAAAGUGAUAAUAUUUAUAUAUGACAUAGAAGACUUGCUCGUGUUAGUUCCUUACUACUUAACAAUCUAGUCAUGAAGGACCUAGUCCGUGGUGUCCCCAAGUUAUAAUUUUCAGACAUCAAGAUUUGUGAUGCCUAUGUCAAUAAAAAGAAUUCAGGUCCUCAUUUAAGCAGAAAAAGAAAGUCAGUACUACCAGUCCUCUUAAGCUACUUUACAUGGAUCUAUGUGGACCUAUAAAGGUUCAAAGUAGAGAAAAAAAAGAAAUAUAUCUUGGUUAUUGUGGAUGAUUUCUCAAGGUUCACUUGGACCAUGUUCUUGAGGUCCAAAGUUUAAAAUUAGAAGCGUUGGUGAUUUUUACCAAGCAAAUCCAAGUGAAUCUGGAUAGUAAAAUUCCAGGGAUCAGAUAAGACUAUGGAAUUAAGUUUCAAAAUGCAAGGGUUGAAGAAUUUUAUGCAGAAAUUGGAAUAAGUCACAACUUCUCAGCCCCCAGAACCCUCAGUAGAAUGGUGUUGUUAAAAUAAAAAAAUAGUUUUUUGGUUGAUAUUGCUAGAACCAUAUUGAUUGAUUCUAGUCUUCCAAAGAAAUUAUGGGCUAAAGCAGUUAAAAUUGCGUGCUAUGUUACAAAUAGGUGUCUAAGAAGGUCAACUCUCAACCAAACUCCCUAUGAAACAUUGUACAAAAGAAGGAUCAAAAUGAGAUACGUCAAGUCUUUUUGGUGCAAAUAUUUUGUAUUGAACAAUGGUAAGGAUUAUCUUAUGAAAUUUGAUCCCAAGAGUUUUAAAGAAAUAUUUGUAGGCUAUGCUUCAACUAGCAAAGCCUAUAUGAUCUAUAACAAAGAACCCUUUAUGUUGAAGAAAGUGUUUAUGUCAUUUUUUAUGAGCCGGGUGACAUGGAAAAAUUAAGAGAUGCCGAUGAUGAUGACAUGGAGGAACUUAUUAAAACUCAAUAUAAUGGUAUUCUUGAAGAAAGUGAUAAAGGACAAGAUAAUCACGAUGUUGAAAAUCAUACAACUAGUGAAGUUGAGGAACUGGGUCCUCAGCAAGAUUUUGCUGGACCUGAUCAUUCAUAGCAUGAAUCUCAAGACCAAGAUGGUAGGGUACCUGGUACUAUUCAACCAUAAUCAUCCAUAGAAAAUCAAACUAAAAGCACAAGUCAUCUCACCCUCUUGACAAUCUCACCUCACCUUUGGACUCUGGUAUGCAAACCAGGGCACAAGUAAGGAAUUUAGUUGCCUUUUCAACAUUCACAUCUUCCAUUGAGCCUAAUAAUAUGAAGGAAGUACUCAAGGAGGCUACUUGAGUAAAUUUAAUACAGAAGAAACACCAUUAGUUUGAGAAAAGUAAAGUAUGACACCUGGUCUCCAGACAUGAUGAUAGGACUAUCAUAGGGGAUAAGUGAGUAUACAAGAACAAGCUUGAUGAACAUGGUGUUAUCACAAGGAACAAAACUAGAAUUGUGGUGCAAGGAUAUAAUCAAAAAGAAGGGACUAAUUUUGGUGAGACCUUUGCACUAGUUGCAAGGAUGGAGGCUAUAAGAAUCCUUAUUGCUUUUGCUAUAUACAUGGAGUUCAAGCUAUUCUAAAUGGAUGUAAAGAGUACCUUCCUAAAUGGUUAAUUGAAAUAAGAAUUAUAUGUCAAACUACCAUCCAGCUUUCAAGAUAUUGAUCAACAUAAUCAUGUGCUGAAAUUAGACAAGGCAUUGUAUGGCUUAAAACAGGCUCUAGGAACAUUGUUUGAAAGGUUAUCUAAGUUUCUUCUUAAAAAUGGCUUCAAGAAAAGAAAAAUUGACCACUUUUUUUCUUAAAACAAGAGGAAAAAAUAUGCUAAUUGUGCAGGUGUAUGUGGAUGACAUCAUUUUUCGAGCAACUUCAUACUCACUGUGCGAAGAAUUUGCUAAGCUCAUGGGAAGUAAGUUUGAAAUAAGUAUGACAAGCUUAUUUUUAGGGCUACAAAUCAAGAAAACUCCCAGUGGAAUAAUGAUUAUUCAAGAGAAAUACAUUAAGAAGCUUUGAAAAAAUUUCACAUGAAUGAUGCUAAAUCCAUUGAUAACCCUAUUGGGAUAAGCUCAAAGACAAAUUUUAAUAAACCUACUCCUAUGGUAAAUAAGAUUGUGUUUAAAAGAAUCAUUAAGUCGCUCUUAUACUUGAAUUUUAGCAGACCUGAUAUUGUAUUCAGUAUGGAAAUAUAUACAAGGUUUCAAGCUUGUCCAAUAGAAUCUCACUUAAAAGUUGCAAAGAGUAUUCUCAGAUAUCUAAAGAAAAUAGGGGACCUGCACCUAUUUUAUCCAUCUGGUAAUAAUUUUGAUCUAGUUAGUUAUGUUAAUACAAAUUAUGCAGGGUACCUAGUUGAUAGGAAAAGUACUUCAAGAAUAGAUCACUUCCUAUGGUCCUCUUUUAUCUACUGGAAAUAAAAAAGUAAAACUUAGCAGCACUCUCCAAAGCAAAGGCUGAGUAUGUAGCAGUUGUUUCAAAUUAUGCUCACUUUUUUAAUUAAGCAGUAGCUAAAGGAAUUUGGGAUAAUGAUUACUCUAUAAAUGACCAAAAAUUUUAUACAACAUAAAAGGACCAAACAUAUUGAUGUGAGACAUCACUUUCUAAGAGACAAUCUAGAGAAGGAACCCAUUCGCAUGAAAUUCUACAAUAUUGAAGAUCAAGUUGAGGAUAUUUUCACAAAGUCUCUCCACAAGAACCAAUUUGAUAAAAAUAGGUUGUGGCUUGGACUAAUUUAGUUGAAUUGAUCUACUCUAGUUGAUUUUAUUUCCCCCUACGUUGGUUAUGAUUAGGGAAUAAAUAUCCUUGUGAUAAUUUGUGUUUUGAUCUAAUUCAAUUACAUACCUUUUGUAAGUAUACAUGUAUGGUGGGAAAGCUAAUAAGAAAGAUGAAUAAGAAAGAUUUAAAGGCCAAAAACUUUCAAAGAAUUAAGAGUGGGUCUAGAUUCGUACUCAAAAGGUUAGUACUUUAUUACUUUUUGAAAAUGUAGAAAUUUACUGUUCAAAAUAGCCACGUGUCUUUUCUUACCCCUUCGUACUAUUGCCACAUCAUUUGAAAAUCCAAGGAAUAUGCCCUAUUGGGACCAGGCACUUAUUUUUUCUUUUAGCUCAACCACCAUUUCCAUCAUCUUUAAAUAACAUCUUAACCCCUGAUCUUUUAUAUUCUCAAAUCACUAAAACUCUCCUUUAUCCUUCAUAAUCUUAUCCUCUCCACAUCUCCAAGCAUUUUGAUAGUUUAUUAUUAUCUUGAAAUACUACCAGGUUGAAUUAGCCAAGUUUCUAAACUAAUGUCAAAACUACCAGUGACAACGGUCCAAGGUACCAGUCGUUAUGAGAUGUAACGAGUCGUUGUAAGGACUUAUUUUCACGGUAGUAAGGUAAACAAAGUUUUGGUCCCUUGGAAAUGAGUCUAGGGUAUGACUUAUUAUGAAACAUGAUAUGUUAAUAAGAGGAACUUGUUGCCUUAAUAGUAAGAUGCCUCAGAGUUCUGUCCCUGAUCACGAGUCUUAGUCACGACUCGUGAUGUCAGAUAAUGAUUCAUUAUGAGUGACUCAUUGUCAUAAUAGUGAAGGACCAAGAUUUUGAUCCUUUGGUAAUGAGUCUAGGUAACGACUUAUGGUCAGACCUCAUGAGUCGUUACCAAUGUCGGGUUGACUGUAUUAGUAUUUUCCUACAUAUUUUAAUUGGGGUCUUUUUGAUCUUUUCCUCUCUUUACACUAUACCUGCGACUUAAAAACACUCUGAUGACCCAUUUAACAUCAUUUAUCAAACCAAAACACUAUUUUCUUCUCUUUAACAUUCAAGGCAAGAGAAUACUAGGGUUUUACAAGGGAUUCAAUAUUCAAGCUCCAACCUUCAAAUUCCUUUCAAUUUCUUAUGUAUUUCAGACAUAUCUCUCAUCCCUAAACUUGUAUUUUUUAUUAUGGCAUAAAUUAAUUCAAUAUUUAUAUGAUUUAAUUGUUGGGUUUAAAAUUAGGUUAAGGGGUUUUGAUGGUGAUGACUUCAAUUGCUUUUUCCAUGUUUUUAAUAUGUUAUCCAUGCUUUAAUUGAUGGUUUUAGAGGAUGAAUGAGUGAAUUAUCAUGGGGAUUGGAGUGAGGAACAUGGAUUUUCCCAAAUUGAUGGAUUUUUAUCUUGGUAAUGGUAUUAAUAUCAACCCACCUUCAUAACUUUGGUUUUGAAUAUGAAAUUUGCAUAAUUUAAUCUAUUUUUGGACAUUGUAUUGCAUUAAAGGAUAAUGGAUAAUGAAAUGGUUUUGGAAAUCCCUUGGUGACAUUGGUUUGGAUUUUUAAAUGGAACUUGGGAGUAUAAUGUGUCAUGGAUUGGCUUGGCAUAAUCAUAUAAGCUUGCAAUCAUAAUUGGAAUGAUGAAACCAAGUCGGUAAAUGCCUUAAUGAAUGACUCUUGGAUUAAUGAUUGGGUUUAUGUGCAAAUUAUUUUAAUUUAGGCUUAAAGGAAAUUAUGUAGCUCACCGUGAAAGUAGAGGUCUCAAGGGGAUCAACAGUGGAAACAACGUUUGCUAGUGUAGGUAUUUAUAUGAUCAUGUGCUUAGUGUGCACACUAUAUUUUGGAUUGGAUACUGCCUUGGUGUCUUUAGCCUUUCAUCGGUUAUGUGGCUAACAUGUACUGAAGCCCUUUUAGUAGGGGGGACUGAACCCAUAUAGCCCAUGGGUGCCUUUAUAAAGCGAGCUAUACAGUUCACACUAAUAGUUUAAACUUUCAUAAUCAUAACCUUUGUCCCUACCCCGACAACCUAUAUAUGUAUAUAUAAAUGUUGUUCCUAUUGUUUUGACUAGUUUUUAGCAUUGGCAUUAUUUUAUUACUUUUUCUGAGAUACAUGUCAGUGCUUGCCCCACUGACCAUCCUUGGACACUAUAUCAUUUCAUGAUGUAGGGUCUGAGGGAUUUUAUAUUACUCUUGUGCAGUGUUAGGUAUUGUGGUACGUUGGUUGCAUUUUUGUGAAGUAGUAAGCCUCCAUAUUUUGAAACUCCCUACCAUUUCAUUAGGUUUUUUUCCAGAUUUUAGGAAUUGUGAACUUUAUUUUGUCAUAGUCGGGGGCAUGCCCCGACCUAGUUUGGUAUUCUAAUUUAGAGGCUUUUAUGGACAAGUGUGGGUUGGAUGUUUUUUUAUUCAUAGAGUUUAUAUUUGAUUAUCUGUGCUUCUAAUUACUAUUUGGUUGACUUUCGUUGUAUUCUUUUAUUAUGUCCUGGAUGUUAGGGUAAGGGAAUGGUUUUCGGCUCAUGUUGGGCUUGAGAUGCCUGUCAUGACUAAGCCCUGGUUUGGGUCGUGACAGGAGGAGGACAACACUAAUUAUGAUUUGAUGUCAUGGAAAAGAGUGGGACAAACAUAUUCCAUUGGAAAGAAGAAAAUUGAUAUUUCUAAUAAUGUCAUUGGAGUUAUAGAACAAGGGGGUGAAAAGGAACUCAUAGGAGAUUCAAUAAAGGCGAACAAAUUAUCCACCACUCAUAAAUGUAGAUUGAGGAAAACCUUAGUGAUUGAUGAAGCUAUUGUUCCAGCGGAUUGAGUGAUGGUAGUAGAGGAUGAAGAAAAGGAGAUGAUAUUGAAUUUAAUGUUGCAGUUGCAAUAGAGAAAAGAAUAAAAGGAGAAAGUGUCAAAAAACCAUCAGUGAUAAGAGCAUCAAGGCACAAAAAAUUGCUGCAAAAAGUUUGCCAUUGUCAAGCAGAAGAAUAAUGAUGGUUCAGAGGUACUUAGUCCUAAAGCUGACUCCACCACUUCUACAUAAGUGGCUUUGUCUGUCAAGGGACCAGGUACUUCUAUCGAAAGAAGAAAAGUUUAAAAGGUUGAGAAAGUUCUUACUAGGGAAGAAAGUUCAAGCUCUCAAGAUAGAAAAAGUGUUAAAAAGAAGAGUGUUUGACCCAAGUGUUGGACAAUAAAAUUAUCGAGUCGAAAAAAUAAAUAAUUUGAGACAAGAAAAUGUUGCAACAAUUAAUUUAUUGAUUUCAAUAUGUGAGUGUUACAAUCUCUAUGAAUCCUGUAAUUCGCCUUUUCAAAUAUAAAUUCAAGGGCUUAAAGCUUGAUCUUGAAAUUUGAACUUGAUUUGUUGUACUUGAGGAACUUGAUCUUGACUUGUUCUUGAAUUCAAGGGCUUUUGAGCUUGUUCUUGAAUAUUGGGGUCUUGAUCUUGAAUUUUGAUGAACUUGAUUUGAAUGUUUCAGCUUUAUAGAGAAAUUGCAGUGUUUGAUCCAUGAGCUUUCUCUUGCUUUUUGUUAGAGUUAUGGGGGGUUCUCUUUUCUAAAUUAUGAGACCCCUAUUUAUAGUUGUGGAAAGGGAAGAGUCACGAUGAAGAAGGACUUUCUUUGGCCACUCAAAUUCAGGUGACAUGGCACCUUUUAUGGGCUUUGAUUUUAUUAGGCCUGCUGCAUCAUUUUGACAUGUGGCAUGGUCCUAUUGGCUCCUUCCCCUGACUUGGCAUGCCACAUCAUUUGACACGUGGUGCUUAUUUAGGUCUCUAUAAUAUGACAAUAUCUUUGGCUUAACACAAUGGGCUCAUUAUUUAUAGCACAAAUUAUGGACUAGCCCAAUAAAGAUUGGACUUUAUUUAAAUCCAUAUAUGUUUGGACUUAAAUAAUUAAUUGAUUGUAUUAAUCCGCAAUAUUUAUUUGGGACUAAGCUAUUUUGAAUUUAACAUAAUCUAAAUUUCAUACGAAUUUUUAUUUAAUAAGAUUUUGUUGCCCAUAAAAUGCCCCCUACUUCAAGACUUGUCGAGAUAUUUAAUCUUUUUGAGACUAGACUUGAAUUAUGAUUCAUUUAAACAUGCUUCCUUCAUGCUUCAAAGAUUUUCACAAAGCUGAACCAUGCAAUUUACAUAUUGAUAUCGCUUCUCAAAAAGUCUCCUAUUUUUUUCAUGAAUCUCUACACGUAAGACCCAUUGGUGAGGCAUGAUAUCCUAUUCCAAAUAGAUUUUGAAAAAAAAUACUGUCUUACUUAACCAGGAAUAAAACUCUUCCAAUUUGAAUUUAUAUUGGAGAAGAAAACAUCCCCCAAUUUGAAUUUGUAUGGGAGAAGAAAAUAAACUCCAAUUUGAAUUUGUAUUGGAGAUGAAAACUCUUCCAAUGUGUAUUGGGAAGGAAACAACCUCCAAUUUGAAUUAGUAUAGAGGAAGAAAACAACCUCCAAUUUGAAUUUGUAUGGGGGAAGAAAAUAACCUCCAAUUUGAAUUUGUAUUGGAAAUGGUAACUCUUCCAAUUCAAAUUUAUAUUGGAGAAGGAAACAUACAUCCUACAACUCUAUAAAAGAAUGUAGGUUCCACACUUUUUCAAUAUCAAUUUUGAGGUUUCAAGCCAUGAACAAUAUUGAGGUAAUUUUUUUCCCUCCUACAUUUCUUUUAUUUUCGUCAUUAUUUUUCAGAACAACAUUUUAGUGGUAGAAAAUUCAUACCUUAUGGUAGGGAUAUCAAAAUCAUAAACCGUUUGAUACUCCAAAAAUUAGACUUCGAUAUCUAUAACAUAUCAAAAACUCAGCUUUAAAUUCCAUUAAUAUAAUUCUUGAUAAUUUUUUGAAUUUAGCCCUGAAUUUUAUCAUGCUGAAAAUUUCAGAUCUGGGCGUCUUUACUAAAGCUUUCAUAUCUUGAAGCAGGAAUGACGAAAUUGCAAACCGCUUGAUUUUUUUGAAACUAGACAAAAAGAUAUACAACAUAUCCCGAAUUCAUAAUUUAAUAUUUUUGAGAUUAUUUUAGGUGUUAUUCCGAAAUCAGCAUUGAGUUUUGAUGCAUCAGCAAUUUCAGAUUUAUGCGACGUCACCAAAAAAAUUAUACCUGGAUAUGAGAGUAUCAAAAUUAUGAUCCGCUUAAUUUUAUAGAUCCCAGAAACAUGCAUAUGUAACAUAUCCAAAAUUUGAAUUUUAACACUUCUUGGAUUGUUCUAACUAAUUUUUUUAAAGACGAUCUUAUAUGUUGUCCGACAGAAGAUUCCAGAUUUGCACCGCCUCACCAAAUAAUUUAUAUCUUGAUGUGGGACCAUCACUACCAAAUAGUAUUUUGAUUGCUUCAAACUAUAUUUUGAUGACUAUAUUUUCAUUAAGGCAUCUUUUCUCAAUCUAAGUUAGUGAUAUACAACUUUCGAGAUCGCAACGCUCUGACAGGUAACAUCCUUUCUAUUUGUGUUUUUACUUUCUUUCUUGUUUCCUUCUUUUUUUGCAGGGUUAAAAUAAAUAUGCAACAAUCGGCUUAAGGUGAGAGAGUUUAACUUCAUCUCCGUACACCCUAAGACCGACCAAUUUAAUUUUAAGAUGGUGGUUGUGCAAUAAUCGGCUUAGGGUGUGAGAGUUUAACUUAGCCUCCGUACACUCUAAGACUGACCAAUUUGAAUUCAAGAUGUUGCCUAUGCAACAACAAGCUUAGGGUGAGAGUGUUUAACUUCACCUCCGUACACUUUAAGACCGACCAAUUUAACUUCAAGAUGGUGGCUUUGCAACAAUCGGCUUAGGGUACGAGAGUUUAACUUUGUCACCGUACACUCUAAGACCGACCAAUUUAACUUUAAGAUGGUGUCUUUGCAACAAUCAGCUUACCUCCAUACACUCUAAGAUCGACCAAUUUGACUUCAAGACGGGAGCAAUGCAAUAAUCGGCUUAGGAUGCGAGAGUUUAACUUCGCCUCCGUAUACUCUACGACCGACCAAUUUGACUUCAAGAUGCAUGGUUUUCUUUAAGUAUGGGCCCUUUCACUGAUGCAUUUAUGCGAUGGUUUUCUCUAAGUAUGGGCUAUUUUCAAUGUUUAGAUUAAGGGGCAAAGGGGCAAAUUUUGUCCGCCUUAAGACAUGAAAAUUUAAGAUCCUUUUAAGGAUAAACCUGUGAGAGGCCAACUUAAGGUGCAAAGGGACAAAUUUUGUCCACCUUAAGGCAUGAAAAUUUUGAGAUCCUUUUAAGGAUAAACCCAUGAGAGGCCAGCUUAAGGUUCAAAGGGAUAAAUUUUGUCCACCUUAAGGCAUGGAAAUUUUGAAAUCCUUUUAAGGAUAAACCCUUGAGAGGCCAUCUUAAGGUGAAAAGGGACAAAUUUUUUCCACCUUAAGGCAUGGAAAUUUUAAAAUCCUUUUAAGAAUAAACCCGUGAGAGGUCAUCUUAAGGUGCAAAGGGACAAAUUUUAUCCACCUUAAGGCAUGAAAACUUUUUUUAUAUGUUCUUAAAGAUAAAUCCAUAGAGAGAUCAGCUUAAGGUACAAAGGAACAAAUCUUUCCCACCUUAAGACACAAAAAUUUUGGAGGCCUUGAUUUGAAGACUUGGAGAUUUUAUCAACUUUCACUCUCAAAUUUGGCAUUUUGAGUGGUUCAGCUUCUAAAUUUAGGGAGUUUCGAGACUUUAUAUUAUGUGAACAAAGCUCAUAUUUCAUUGUAGUUUGCCCCCAUUGAGCCACCAAUACUUGGAGUGGGUCCAAGAUUUAAUUAGAAUAUUUUCAUACUUUGUAUCCAUAUGGCAGAUACUGUAGGAGCAUAUUUUUUUAGACACUCAUGCAAUUGAACUCAGAAUGAGAUUCCAAGUGCCUACGUACCUUAGUGAAGACGAUCAAGUCACAACGUAGUUCUGGGUGAGUGUUUUUUUCUUUCAUCCUAACUUUUCCUAGUCCGCCACUUUCGAGAUUUUCAACCUAGCAUACAUCUAAAGUCGUGCAUAGUUUAUACUCUUGGAGGACAGGAGUGAACAUGUAGUUUAUACUCGUGCCUUAAGAAGUGUCAUCUUCCUUCAAAGAUAGUACUUAUUCAAGAACUUGGCGUUGAUAGGACCAAUUUUCAUGCCAUCUGCAUUGAUAAGCUUGUAAGUACCAUUUGAAUAUGCCUCUUGUAUGACAUAUGGUCCAUCCCACUUUGGGGUAAAUUUACCCCUAAAAUUACGAGAAGUGAUAAUGGGUCUCCUUACUGCAAGGACUUGAUCUCUAACUUGGAAGCACCUCAAGUGAACUCUUUUAUUGAAAGAACGAGAUAGUCGGGCUUGAUAAUAUUCAAGAUUUUGUUUAGCCCCCAGCCUCUUCUCAUUAAGAGCUUCUAACUCUGCAAGAUGUAACUUAGCAUUUUCUUCAUCGGUGAGCCCUUCUUGAAUAGUCAGUCUCAAAGAGGGUAUUUGACGCUCAAGUGGCAGGACUACUUCAACUCCAAAAGCAAGUGAGUAUGGGGUUGCUUGCGUAGGUGUGUGGUAAGUUAUUCUAUAUGCCCAUAAAGCUUCUUUCAUUUGUUCAUGCAGUCUCGCUUAGACUUGGAGAUAACUUUCUUCAAUAGAUUACAUAAAGUCGUAUUAAACGCUUCGGUUAAACCAUUGGCGGCAGCAUGGUACAUAGAAUACUUCCACUACUUGAAGCCAAAAAGAUCCCAAAUCUUAUUCAUCAUAUUGUUAUCAAAUGGCUUGCCCUUGUCGGUUAUUAUAUAUUGAGGGAUUCCAAAGUGGUAGAUGAUAUUCACUCGGAUGAAAUUUAUAAUAUUCUCUUUCUUUACUUCUUUGAGAGCAAUAGCUUCGGCCUAUUUUGAGAAGUAAUCUAUUGCGGCAAAGAUGUAUAAGUGUCCACCAGAAUAUAUUGAUAGUGGACCAAUAACAUCCAUUCCCCAAGCAUUAAAUGGCCAAGAUGUUACAGUUGGGUGUAGUACUUCAGGAGGUUGAUGAAUGAAAUUCACAUGGAAUUGACAAUCUUUGCAUCUUCUAGCAUAGUCCAAGUAAUAUUUUACCAUUGUUAGCCAAUAAUAUCCCAUUCUUUUAAUGUGAAAAUGGAGCUUCGGUCUAGACUGAUGAGAUCCACAAACUCUCGAGUGUACUUCUUACAAAGCUUGAAAUUUUUCUUCCUCUCCCAAAUAUCAUAAGAGUACUCCUUCAACUGAUAUUUUGUACAGUGUGUCUUUGCAGUAAAGGAAGCGAGGUGCACGACGACGAAUGUCAGUCUUUCUCCUUGGAUCUUCUGAAAGUAUCCCAUAAUAUAAGUAAUCAAUGAUAUGUUGUUGCCAAUCUUCUUUUACAGCCUCAAAUAUGGCAACGAGGUAUUCAACUUUAUUUUCUUCAUCCUUAUUUGAAGGGGGUACUACCCAUUCUUGGCGGAUAGCAACUUGCGGCUGAUUCGAAAGAGUCAGGAUUUAGGCCAAAGCAGCUAGGGCAUUAGCUUGUUUAUUUUCUCUCCUUGGAACAUGUUGGAGAGUUACUUCUUUAAGCCACCCCAUCAACUUCUGUGCAUAAUCAUGAUAUGGUCGUAGCUCAGGAUUUCUGACUUCAUAGCUUCCCAAAAGCUGCUUGAUCACUAAUUGAGAGUCACCAAAGACUUGUAAUUGCAGUUAUUUCAUGUCAACUUCCAUAUCAAGUUCAAGUAUUAAAGCUUGAUAUUCAACAACAUUAUUAGAGCAAUGGUUUUUAAGGGUAAAAGAGUAUGGAAUGACCUCUUCUUGUGAAGUGACAACACCACACCGGCACCAGCUCCAUCUUGAUGUGCAGAACCAUCAAAGUACAUCCUCUACGGGGGUAUGGCUUUAAUAACCAUUGCAUCUUUAUCAAAAAGUUCAUCGCUCAAUUCCCAGUCAUUGGGUAUCCGGUGGUCUUCCAAGAAGUCAGCCAAUGCUUGUCCCUUUACAGCCUUUUUAGAAAUGUACACAAUCUCAAUCUGUUGAAAUUGAAGGUACCAUCUUGUAAAUUAGCCACUAAGGACUGUUUCGAUAUUAAAAACUUGAUGGGAUUUGCCCUAGUCAUAAGACGAACAACAGGAGCCUGAAAGUAGUGCUUCAUCUUUUUAAUUGAGAAACCCAAUGCCAAACACAACUUUUCAAUUAGAGCAUACUUUAGCUCAUUUGGCGGCAUCAUUCUACUCAGAUAGUAAAGAGAGUUCUCUUUGCCUUCACUAUUUUCUUAAGCCAGUAGUGCUCCAACUGUCCUUUCUUGUGUUACGAUGUAGAGUACCAAUGGUUUCCAGGUAUGGGUGCUGCAAGAACUGGUGACUUUAUUAAGUAUGUUUUGAUACUCUCAAAGGCAUUACUACAAGCUUGGUCUCAUUCGAAGGGAGUGUACUUCUUCAUGAGAUGACUACAUGGUUGACAUUUUUCAUCCAGGUUUGAGAUGAACCUCCUUAAAUAUUCUAGCCUUCCUUGAAGGCUUUUUAACUCAUGAAUGUUUCAUGGCUCGGGCAUCUUCAAAAUUGUGUCGACCUUGUCCUGAUCAAUUUUAAUUCCUCGGUGUCAUACAAUAAAUCUAAGAAACUCCAAAGGUGCACUUCAAUGGAUUCAUCCUAAUUUGAUAUCUUCAAAGUAAUUCAAACACAAUUAUUAGGUCCUUUAAGUGGUUGUCUCUCUUUCUGGACUCCACCACUAGAUCAUCCAUGUAGCAUUCAAUAUUUUUCUGGAGUAGACCAUCAAAGAUGUUUUGCAUAAACCUUUGAUAAGUGGCUCCAGCGUUCUUCAAAUCAAAAGGCAUUACCUUGUAGCAAUAAAUACCUUUGGGUGUAUGAAAUGCAGUAAGCUCUUCAUCCUUUAGCGCCAUACAAAUUUAGUUGUAGCCAGAUGACCCAUCCAUGAAGUACAUUGCCUCAUAACCAGUGGUGGAAUCAAUCAUCAACUCUGUUAUAGGGAUUGGAAAAUCAUCCUUAGGGCAUGCGUUGUUGAGAUCUCAAAAGUUGACACAAACUUGAAUUUGGCCAUUCUUAUUUCGUACUGGAACAAUACUUGAAAUCCACAUGGGAUAUUUGACUUUACGAAUAAAGCUAUCUUCAAUGAGUUUGUUAAAUUUAUUUUUGAUCAAUGGAACCAAUUCUAGCCUAAAGCACCUUUGGUCUUGCUUAACAGGAUGAGAACCAUUCUUAACCACCAACUGAUAGACUGUUACUUUCAAAUCUAAGCCAGAUAUUUCCUUAUAACUCUAAGAAAAGACAUCCAUAUAUUAUUUAGGUAUAUCCAUAUAUGUGAUUUCUUUCUCCAUCUCUAGAAAGGCACUUAGGUAAGUUGGUCUUGGGUCUUCAUCGGUUCCAAGAUUAAAUUCCUUCAAGGAAUAUAUUGUGGCUUUUACUCCUUCUUCAAGUUGCGAUGAAGCAUCUCCAAUAUAUUCCUCCUCCUGAGGAUCAUCGUCGUUGAUGGAUAUGUGGUAGGACUAAAAAGUAUCUUCCAUCACUUCAUCAAACUUUAUUUAGGGUGAGACCGCAUCCUAUUUUGGGUUGUAACAUGAUAUAAGGAGCCAACACUCUCUCCAUCUUUCUCUCAUUGCUUGGUAUAAAGCACAUUAUGAUCCUUUUCUUUUAGCACCUCAUUGCAUGAAACUACCAGUUAUAUUUCCCGCCUCAUUUUAGAAGGAAUCAAACUUUGGAAAUCCUUUUGGAUCUUAGGCAAAGAGUGAAUUAUUGUACUUUGAUGACUUAUCCGACGCUUGUUAUUUUUCUUCUUAUUUAGAGCACCCAACCUUUCGAACACAGAAGUUCUAGCAGUUGACUCUCCAAGUCAGUCAAAGACAGAAGGCCUUUUAUUGGAUGCAGUAGACUCUUCUUCUAUAGUGAUGUAGUUACUAAUCGGCCUUCUUAUGGAGAUGCAAAUCGAAGGUGGCUGCGUGCAUCCUAGGCUUUCACAUGCCUGCCUGGUUGUACCUUUAGAUGGAAGUUUUCCCAACCUUGAUGGCUUAUAGGAUUAUAUCCAGCCUUUACAAAUAGCUUGUAUAUAUUUGGGUCGAAGCCAUCCUUCGUUUAUUUCGUAAGGAGUGUCAUAUCUUAUGGUGGAUUUUGAGCCAAAGACUUCCAAGUAGUCUUAAGGACGAAUUUAUUGCACCAAUCCUCUUGAUAGGUAAAGUUAUCCCUUUAGCACAUUAUCUUGGGCAUCAGAUGGGUGACCUUCCUCUUUCUUUACCUUUGGCACGUAGCAAAGAACUAGAGUUGCCUUCUUUUUCAUAGGUGUAACGCUUUCUUUAUUCGAAGUGAAGAGGGGCUUCUUGGUGGCAACUUUUUUGAUAGUCACCGCGACCUUCUUAGAUACAAGAUCAUUACAUUUGGUCUUGGUGACAUCUUCAACCCUUUUCUCAUUCACAACAUAAUUCUUGAAGUAGAAUUUUGCAUCAAUAAAAUGUAACUCAGCUUCAGUGAAUGGCUUGUCACUGGUAACUAUCUUUCUUUCUACUCCUCCUUCGAGGUACUUCAAGUAUUGAUAGUAAGAGGAUGAGAUAAUUUUAUUAUCGCGUACCCAAGGCCUACCAAGUAAGAUAUUGUAUGAAGUUUUGGCAUCGAUUAUAUACAUCAAUGUGUAUGAUUGAAAAUCAUCCAUACGAAUCCCCAACUUGACAGCUCACAUGGCCCUCUGGCCCCCUUGGUUGAAGCCUUGUAUCAUUAUAUGGCUUUCAGCCAGUUCACCAAUAGCAAUGCCAAGUUCCUUCAUUGUACGGAUAGGCAGGAUGUUAACUCCGGAUCCCUUAUUAAUCAAGAUUCUAUUUAUCCUUUUUCCUAGAACUUGACCUACCAUGUACAAGGGACGAUUGUGUAGGAUUUCUCCAAGUAGAAGGUCGUUAUUUGUAAAUGUGAUUUUUGUAUCACAUACGUGUGCCUUUUGUCUAAGUGGCUCCGUAGGCUUUUCAGAAGAUGGAGGAAACCCCACAAGUGGAUUUUCACCCUUUGCCCCCUCUUUGGCAGUAUUAAAACAAGAUGCCUCAAGGUUGACAUGAGCAGUCUUUGCAAGAAACCAACAUGGUAAGAAUUCUUUCAAAGUUACUGGACAUCAUAAUUUUUUGUGGUGAAUCUCUGUCACCCUCAUCUUCUUUAUAAGUUCAACCAACUUCUGUUUUCUUGGAUUCUUCACCAUUCUCCUUCUGGUUGGCUGCUCGGAUGACUCCUUUUGCAGACUCAUUUUCUUAUGUCUGUGCCUAGUCACCAGAGUCCAACCUUCAUCAUCGCCUUCAUCAACUGAAUACCUAUCAGGAUCUAAUAUCUUCUCUUUAUGCUCUUCGACACAUAUUUGGACUCGAUCGAGUGAGCCAAAAGAGAUAGAGAUUUGAUGAGAACUGGUCCUCUCAUCGUCGAAGAAGAUUUUCUUCUCUUUUUCAAGUUGCAUGACUUUAUCCUUAAAGACAAAGCACUUUUUCAGAGGGUGACUUAUGACCCUAUGAUAUUUGAAAUAAUUAUGGUCAUUGGUCCUUCCAGCUUUGUUAAGACGCUUUAUUUCUGGGAGUUCAAUGAGCUUAUGCUCAAGGAGUUCAUCAAAAAUCUCAGCAACAUCAGAACUAAGGAAGGGAUAUUCCUUUUCUUGCAUCUCCUUUAAAGUUUCUGAUUCGGACGUGCUCCAGAAGUUGUCUUCACACUUUGCUUCUUGCUCACCUUUAUGGUGACCUUCACAGAAGACACAUUAACAUUCAUGGACUCCUUGUUGUCAUUUUUGGGGAAAAACUUACCCUAUCUUUUGGGUUUCUGCUUAUCCUUUCCUUUUUGAGAGUCAUGGAUAGGUGUUACUCCCUUUUCAGCAGAAGACAUGCUUAAAUCCAUAUCAUGAGCACGGGUAGCUAGGUAUUCAAAGGAUUUAGGCUUAAUGCCUUGCAAGAUAUAGAGAAGCUCCCAGUGCAUUCCUUGGAUGCACAUCUCUAUUGCAAAAGCUUCGCUAAGUCUAUCUUUGUAGUUUAGGCUAGCAUUUCUCCAUCGAUUGAUGAAGUUAAUAACUGGUUCAUUCUUUCUUUGCUGACUAUUUGUGAGCUCUACCAUGCUCACUGUACGCCUUGUGUUAUAAAAGAGAUUCAGGAACUCAUGUUCCAAUUGAUCCCAACUAUUAAUGAAGUUAGGCUUAAGAUCCGUAUAACAAUCAAAGGCAUUUCCCUUUAGGAAACAAACAAACUGUUUGAUAAGAUAGUCACCAUAAGUUCUAGCAUUGUUACAUAUUUCAACAAAGUGUGCGACAUACUAUUUUGGGUUCCCUUUGCCCUCAAAUAAUUAAAAUUUGGGGGGUUGAUAGCCGGCAAGCAUUUUGAGGCUAUCUAUUCUCAUAGUGUAAGGUUUGGAAUACAUAAGGGAAUACUUGGUGACAACAUCAUACUUGUCUUUGAGGGUCUCUUCAAUGAAUUCCUUCAAUUGCUCAAUCGGGAUCAUUCCCUCAGAAAAAACUUGCAACUCUUUAGUCGGUGGUAUUUGUUUCAUAGGAUGUUCUAUCUCAUAAGCCUCCAAAGAGUUUUCAGGUGCAUGGCUAGACUCUCUAUCCAUCAUACCUUCCAACCUAUCCACUAUCUUAUCAAUCCGAGCAUCUUGAUUCUGAACAUUAUUAGUUAGGCUCUCAAAUUACCUUUGUCAGAUUCGCAAGCUGCUCUUCCAUAGAUGAGGCAUCAGUCAACAUCACUUGCAUGAUCACUGUAUACGUUGGAGAGUAACAUGGAUUAUCGCAUAAGUUGAUCUUCGAAGUGGUCAGUUUAUGGGAUGUAAGUGGAGAUAACAUAUUUAUUGAACGACCAUCGCUCUUUGCGCCAAAGUAUUUAGAUCCAAAAUGCUCAAGUAGAGCUAAAGUCUUCUUAAGCGAUUCUGUUACACUGCUUUCUCCUUCCAAAGCACUUGCAUUGAACCUCGUUCCUCUUGGGGUUGAAGAUCCAAAAACUGGAGUUGGUACGGAUGACACUGGAUGUAUUUGUUGUCCUAGCAAGCCUGCCUUGCUCGUUGUGACAGCUUCCAAGCUUUCAAAAGUAGCACCAAGUAUGCUUUCUACUUAAGUAGAGAACUUUGAAUUAGCAGCCUUGGAAGCAGUUGAUUAAGAGUUGACCUUCUUGGAAGUCAUUUCAGUGUUGUUGAACUUUAAAGUUGGAAAAGUUGAGAUAAGAAGUAGAGAUUGUCCCACUGGGUGUGCCAGAAUUUGUUGAACAAUAAAAUCCUCGAGUCGGAAAAAUAAAUAAUUCAAGAUAUAAGAAAAUAUUGCAACAAUCAAUUUAUUGAUUUCAAUAUGUGAGUGUUACAAUCUUUAUAAAUCGUUUGAUUCACCUGUUCAAAUAUAAAUUUAAGGGAUUAAAGCUUGAUCUUGAAUUUGAACUUGAUUUGAUGGACUUGAGGGACUUGAUCUUGACUUGUACUUGAAUUCAAAGGCUUUUAAGCUUGUUCUUGAAUAUUACGAUCUUGAUCUUGAAUCUUGAUGAACUUGAUUUGAAUGCUUGAGCUUUAUAGAGAAAUUGUAGUAUUUAAUCCAUGAGCUUUCUUUUUCUUUUUAUUAGAGUUUUGGAGGUCUCUUUUCUGAAUUAAUUAUGAAACCCCUAUUUAUAGUUGUGAAAAGGGAAGAGUCAUGAUGAAGAUGGACUUCCUUUGACCAAUUAAAUUCAGGUGACGUGGCAUUUUAUGGGCUUUGAUUUUAUUGGGCCUGCUGCAUCAUUUUGACAUGUGGAAUGGUCCUAUUGGCUCUUUUCCUUGACUUAGAAUGCCACAUCAUUUGAUAGGUGGUGCUUAUUUGGGCCUCUAGAAUAUGACAAUAUCUUAGGCUUAGCAAAGUGGGCUCAUUAUUUGUAGCCCAAAUUAAUGGACUAGCCCAAUAAAGAUUGGACUUUGUUUAAAUCCAUACAUGUUCGGACUUAAAUAAUUAAUCCAAUUGUAUUAAUCAGCAAUAUUUAUUUAGGACUAAUCUAUUUUGAAUUUAACAUAAUACGAAUUUCGUACGGAUUUUAAUUUAAUAAAAUUUUGUUGCCUACACCUAGUAUCUUUAAAAGUCCAGGAAUACGUAAGUUGGUUAAAUUUGUGAAGUAUUUGAAAUGUCUCUAUCUAUUCGAUUUGUUAGUUCCUGCUGCCCAUGAGAAGGAAGUGAGGGAAUUCUACUUUGCAAUUAAUUUCUCUAAAGAUUGUUUGAGACUAAUGACCACUGUACUUAAGAUUAAGAUUCAUCUUGAUAAAUCCAUAAUUUGAGAGUUUUUUUAUGUCCUAGUGUAAGGGAUAAGGUCUGUAACUAACAUGGUUUCAUCUCUUUGGUUUGUAAAGGAGAUUUAUAGAGUUGGUGGGUCAUCCAAGGCUAGGGUACUUAAGAUAUUUCUGAAAGAAUAGUUUUAAUUAUUGUUUGAACUAGUCAACAAAGUCUUGUUACCAUGCUCUAAGAAGCAUACAGUUGCUUCCGCAUCGGACCUAUUCCUUGUGGAAUCCCUCAGUAAGUUAGAAAUUAUCAAUCUUCUAGUUAUCAUAAUUAAACGCGUGCACAAGCUUAUGACAGUUAAAUAUGGAAAGCAUAGGAUGUCAUAUGAUUACUUUUUGAAUAAGGUAUUUGAUCACUUUAAAGUUGAGUGUGUAAAAGGGAUGCAAGAUUUUUAAAGCAAACAUUUACUAUGACCAGUUUGAUUGAAAAUGAGUGUAUUGAAGGAAAGGAAAGAACCAAGUCUAAGUCACAGGUGUUGGAGCUUAUUUCAUAACAAGAGAAGCUGACUGUAGAUUUAGUGAUGUUGGUCCAAUGAGAUGUUGAAAUCUCUUAGUUGAAGGCCACAAUACAACAAAUCUCAACUGAAGGACCUGGAACCGUUAAGGCUCUUCAAGAAGAAAAUAAGGAGUUAAAAACAUAGGUCAAGAACCUGAAUGCAGAAGUCAAGAGCCUCAAUACCAAAGUCAAGGACCUAACCAAGCAACUCCUUAAUGUGCAUGCGACUGAAAGUGCGCUCAGGACCUGGUCCUUCAUUUUCUCGCCCCUAAGCAUCCUAUUUCCUUCGAAUCAUUAUUUGACUAUGUUCUUCAUAUCCCUUUGUUGUCUCCAUAGUUGUUUAGGAACAGUUCUUUUAUGUGUGUUUGUUUGUUUAGUGUGUAUAAUGUCAUUGUUUUGUUUUAUCAACUAAAUGGUUAUUUAUCUCUAUGGAUUUUCUCAUUUGUGUUAGUGUUGUCCUAGUGAUCAUGAAUUAAUCAUAUAUGAAUCUUGCUUAACUUGGUUUACUGUUAUUACUUUUUUAUGAUAGAAAAAGUAGGAAGAUAUUAUAUUAAUGGCAAGAGAGUUUUGACUUACACUAAGGGGCAUGGUCCUUUUCAAGAGAAUCAUUGGAUCCGAUAUAUAGGGGGAACAUACACACUUAAGGGAUUUGGUUGAUAGGGGAAUAACUAGAAAUAGUCUAUAUAGUUUGACAUCAUCAAAAAGGAAAAAAAUUAUAUUUUAGAUUUGAUGAUUUAUAAACUCGUGUGCAAAGGACCUAGAUCGUGUUGUACCAAUUCAAAGACAAGACAACUCCGUACAGUUGUAAAUUGUAUUGUUUGCAUUUUGGUUACUAGCACUGUAGCAAAAAUAUAGUUGGCCCUUUAAACCUCGACCAAUGACAUGCCUCUUAGUUUUGCUCUCUUUUAUAAAAGGAAUAAGUGACAAGAGUAAAACCUAAUUUUUGAAAUCAAGAUUUAUAUCUCAAGCAAAAGUCAUUUGAAAAUUAACAUUGCUCAUAUUUAAUAAGGGACCUGAUCGAGUGUUGACCAGUCUUUGUUGAAUCUUUGAGUCUUGUGUCUUUUGUUCUUAAAUUGUAAUCUACUCUUGAGUUAUAAAGGAUAGUUGAAUUAUCUUUUGUUUAGCCAAGUCUUCUUUAUCAUGCUUGAUGUUUUCUUAUUUAGAGUUAUCUAGGAGUGUUAACUAGAGUUAGUUGAUGAGUGGAUGCAAUAGAGGUACUGUACAGGUUUUGUAAUAGAAGGUGUUACGAGGUACAUAGGAUUAAGAGUUUAAUCUUUUGUGAUUACUCGCAUUUGCAAUCACAAGUUGCUUGAAGUUAGUGGAUUGUUGGGAAAUCCUACUUGGUAGGUCGUGGAUUUUCCUCACUCGAGCAAGGGAGUUUUCAUAUAAAUACUAUGUAUAUUUAAUAUCUCAACACUUUACUUUAUAUUUUAUUUAGCUACUAGUUUUGUGUGUCAAGAAAUCUGAUCUCUUGACUCGUUGUGGACUCGUAUAAGCCAAUAAUUGAUUGUAGUAAAAGUUGAUUGGGAUGCCUAAGAAUUUUAGUGGUUGUUUUACAGUUGCUAACGAUUAUAGUGAGUGGGUAGUGAUGACAACUGGCACUAGUAAUGAUUGUCUACGGUGGUUAUCCAAUUAAAAUAGAGUUGUAGAUGGUUGGUAUUGGUCAUGGGCAGUAGAAGUGGCUAAUGGCAGUUUUGUUUUGUGGUAGUUUGUAGUGAAGGUGUAGGUAAUGGUGAUUGGCAGUAAUAAAUGUGUAUUGAAGGUUGAUGGUGAUGGUUGAGUGUUAUGAUGAAAAUGAAGAACGUCUUAGUGAUUUUGAAAUUUCAUAGAUGAUUGGAACAACUCAAGCUUACUAAGAAUAAAAAUAAUUAAGUGGUCAUUAAAUAAAAAGUGAUAAAGGCAGUUGGUUAUGGUAGAUUGGCCAUAAUAAAUAUGCAUUGUAGGUUGAUGCAUGGGGUGAUUGAGUGUUAUGAUGAAUAUGAAGAACGUCUUAAUGAUUUUGAAAUUUUAUGCAUGAAUGAAAUUAUUCAAGUUUAUUAAGAAUAAAAAUAAUUAAGUUGUAAAGUGGUGGAGGUGGUUAGUGGCACUGUUCAGCAAUGAUAAAUGUGCAUUGUAGGUUGAUGGUGGUAGUUGAGUAUUAUGAUAAACAUGAAGAGUGUCUUAAUAAUUUUAAAAUUUCAUAUACGAUUAGAACCAUUCAAACUUAUUAAGAACAAAAAUAAUUAAGUGGUCUAAAAAAUUAUGGAGGUGGUUAAUGACAAUGACCGAGAAUGAUAAAUAUGCAUUGCAGGUUGAUGGUGAUGGUUAAGUGUUAUGAUGAACAUGAAUAACAUGUUAAUGAUUUUAAAAUUUCAUACACGAUUGGAACGAUUCAAGCUUAUUAAGAACAAAAAUGAUUAAUUGGCCAUAAAAGAAAAAAAUGAUGGAGUGAUUGGUAACAGUGAUUGGCAAUGAUAAAUUUACAUUGUAGGUUGAUGGUGGUGGUUGAGUGUUAUGAUGAACAUGAAGAACGUCUUAAUAAUUUGGAAAUUUCAUACAAUUGAAAUGAUUCAAGCUUAUUACGAAUAAAAUAAUUAAGAGGUCAUAAAAAAACAGUGAAAGUGGUUGGCAGCAGUGUUCGACAAUGAUAAAUAUGCCUUGAAGGUUGAUGGUGAUGGUUAAGUGCUACGAUUAAAAUAAAGAACAACUUAAUGAUUUUAAAUAAUGUUAUAUAAUUGAAAUGAUUCAAGAUUAUUAAGAACAAAAAUAAGUAGUCAUUAAACAAAAAAGUGAUGGAAAUAGUUGGUGACAGUGAUCGACAAUGAUAAAUGUGACUUGAAGGUUGAUGGUGAUGGUUGAGUGUAACGAUAAAAAAGUGAGGAAUGUCUUAAUGAUUUUAAAAUUUCGCAUACGAUUAAAAUGAUUCAAGCUUAUUAAGAACAAAAUUAAGUGGUCAUAAAAGAAAAAAAUGGUAAAUAGCUGGUGAUGGUGAUCAACAAUGAUAAAUGUCUCUUGAAGAUUGAUGGUAGUGGUUGAGCGUUAUUAUAAAAAUAAAUAACGCCUUGAUGAUUUUAAAAUUCCAUAUACGAUUACAAUGAUUGACUUUAGAACAAAAAUAAAUGGUCAUAAAAGAAAAAAAGUGAUAGGGUGGUUGGUGACGAUGAUCGACAAUGAUCAAUGUGCAUUGAAGGUUGAUGCUAGUGGUUGAGUGUUAGAUGAAAAUAAAAACAUCUUAAUGAUUUUGAAGUUUCGUAUACAAUUAAAAUAAGUCAAAACUUAUUAAAAACAAAAAUAAGUGGUUAUAAAAGAAAAAAAGGUAUGCUCAAUAAACUUAGAUAUAUAAAAAUAAUUCUGAUUCAAAUCUUUAUUAAAUGAAACAAAUUGAAUGUAACCUAAUCAUUCAGGCCAUAUUCAUCUAACUUUGUAUUUUUUUAUCCAAAAGUUACUUUUCUUUGUUUUGUUACACAAAAGUCAUUUAACUUUAUCUCAUCUUUCACAAAAGUCAUUUUGAUAUAAUUUGGCUAAAACCCUACCUAAAAUGUGAGAUUAAAUUAAAAAAAAAUCUGUUGUGUUUGAGGAUAGGUUAAAAAUAACCCCUCAAAUAUACUUUUGAGAAGUUUUGGUGCUUUAAGCUUACUAUAUGUGAGUACAUUUGAUUUUCUUCAAAUACUUAACAAACUCUAAUUGUUAAAUUUUAUAAAAAUCUAGAAAAAAAAAUUAAUAUUGAGUCACAUUAGAGGUUUAUUAACUGCAAUUUUUUAAAAUUUAUUACAGAAUUUGGUGUAACUUUCUAGAUUGAUUUAUUUAUUUGUAGAAUAAUUUCAUAGUCUCCUUCACAAAUUUCGUUUUUGAAAGUUGACCUCUCAUGUUACAUAUGAUACCACACUUAUUUUGAUUGUUUUGAUUUAUUUAUAACAAUUCUUAAUCUAUUUAUCACUAUACAAAACUAUAUACUUGAAAUUAAUUCUUUUAUAAAAUAAUUGAAAUACCAAGGAGUGGAAUACUUUUGUAAAUUUUUAAAAUUUUUAUUAUGCCGCCGUUAUCGAAUUUCAACAAAUCUUUCUACUCUGUCUCCAGCCUCUCCAAAAUAUCUAUCCUCCAAAACUUUUUAUUUUUUUAUUUCAUAAUAAGUAACAUUAUUUUAAUUUUUUUUCCUUUUACUAACUCUAUUUACUAAAAAUUAUUCUAGUUUACUUUGCAUAGUUAAUAUACUGAAAAUAAAAUUCAUAAAAAUUAUUGCAAAAUAAUUUAAAAAUCAUAUCUACUUAUUUAAUAGUGUGCUGAUAAUAUGAAUAAAAUAAUAUGUAGCAAAAGUUUAAAAAAAAUAUCUAUAAAUUAAUCAAACAAAAUAGUAUAUCACUAAAAGGGUAAGUAAAUGAAAAUGUAAUUAUUGCAUAUUUAUGAUAAAUAAAUUUUAAUUUAUUUAUUUUUUAUUUCAUCGUUUUUCAAUAUCGUUAAUUUAGUAGAUAAAGUUUGUUAAACAUAUGAAAAUAAAAUGAUUCAUUUUUAUUAGCAAUAUAGUGGAUCAAAACUACUUAAAAGUAUAUGUGAGGGGUCAUUUUGAAUCUACCUUUAAAUAUAAGAGAUCGUUUUUUAUUUCAUCUCAAAUUUUACAUAGGGUUUUAACCAAAUUAUAUCAAAAUAAUUUUUGUGAAAAAUGAGAUAAAGUUAAAUGACUUUUGUGUAGCAAAAUAAAGAAAAAUAAUUUUUACAUAAAAAAUACAAAAUUUGAUGAUCACCUGAAAUUUAGUCAAAAUUAAAGCCCCAAAGGGAUCAUGGGAUUGUACGUCUAAAAGUAGUGGUUCAAUAUUUUAAUGGGACCAUGGUCCAAGUGAAGGUGUUUAAAUUGUUCUGUAUUUUCUGUCGAAUAAGUUGUGGUGUUAACAAACACAUAAAAACAUGUUGUGUAUCUUUUAGUGGGACUUUACGUACUCAAUACAUGUCAUGAAGACUCAUCAUAUAAGAAAAACUAUACCUACUUCUUUGAUGCACGUAGAAUAAUUACUCUAGACAAAGUUUGAUUGCAUAUUUAGAACAUAAAUUAAACUAUCAUUUGGUAAUAAUACAGAUGAGAUAAUAUAUAUCGGAAUAUGACAUCACUAAUUUGUCCAUAUUUAGAUAAACCUCAACAUAACCAACCAAAAUAUAUAGUAUAUGUUAGGUUAAGAAUGAUAAUAUACCUUCAUGAUUUGCUUAUGUAUUCUAAAAUAAUACAUGGGAUCUGAAUUUUGGAUAUUAUUCUUCUAUAAUGUGGUCUACAUGGUAUACCAUUUUUAGUCACAAAUCAUAUCUUUGUAUUUCUCUGUGUUUUGUUAAAUUUUUUUUUUUUUUCAAUUUUCUUCGAUUAUACUCGAGACAAGCUCAUUAUAAUUUAGGACGUUGACGAUAUAAUAUGUCAUUUUGUAAUAAUAAAAAUGAGAUAAUAGACUCUUGAUAUUCUGCUGAAAAGAAUGAAUUAUAGGGUUAGAAUCAAGUUGGUGGCCAUGACACCAUUAAUUUGUCCAUAUGUAUAAAUAAGUGUCACAAACAAAAUGAAGUAUUUUGAUGUUAGGUUAAGAUGAUAAUAUUCAUGAUUUGCUUAUAUAUUCUAAAUUCUAAUACAUGAGAUCUGAUUUUAGGUUAUGAUGCUCAAUAAUGUGAUCUUCAUGAUAUCACAAUGAGUCACUAAUCAUAUCAUUCAACUUCUUUUCCCAUUCUUUUCGAUUGUAUAUAUUUUGAUCCCUCAUUUAUAAUAAAUCAUUAAAUGCAUGUCACGUGUUUUUAUAUAUAUAAACUUCUAUAUCACCAACUAUGAUUAACUAAUAUGUACAUGUUAUAUCUCAUUUAAUUAUUUAAUCGUGAACGAUAUUUAUAUACAUUUUCUAUCUUAUUUAAUCACUGCACCAUAAAUGAUUUAAUAUGAUUUGAUGCAAAUAAUAAUUAAGUGCGGCCAAGUAUUUACCAACUAAAUCCUAUAUAUACCAAAAAGAUAUAAUCAAUUAAAUAAUGUCGGGGAGAACAUUAUCAUGUAGAUCAAUGUUUUGCAGGCUCAGCCCAUAAUUCCAAGUUAGAUGAGAUUGCCUGGCUUAGAGUACAACAAUAUCAUCCUAAUCACUACAAUAUUUCAUUUUAAUAAAUUAUAGCCCAGAGGGGAAAUUAUUAAAGAAGAAGAAGGCAAGUAAAAAGAAAGAGAAGAUUUGCUUUUACUAAUCUAGGAAAUCAUUAAAAGUCCUUUGGCCAUGAAUAUUAUUAAUAUAUUUUGAAAUACAUUUUCAUGUUAUAUUUAUAAAUAUUUAUUUGAUCAUAAAUACUUCAAAAUAUAUUUUCACAAUAUUUGAAAAACGCCCCAAGUGUUUUCACUUUUCACUAGUUUUGAAUUCACUUUCUGCACUUUUACUUUAUUUAUUUUUCAAAAAAAAAAAAUAAUUUUUUGCUUUAAAAAAUAACUCAAUUUUCAUAAAACUCUAAAUUUUUUAAAAUUUAUUUUCACUUUUCAUAUUUUUUUUUUCAAUUUCAAAAAUACCUCAUUGUCAAAAUAAUAUGGUCAAACAUAAUGUUGGGUUCAAAAUCAAGAGAGCGUCAUGCGGAAGCUUAAAGUUUGCAAACGAUAGAGAUGAUAAAUCAGAUGACAAGCAAAAACAUAAUACUAAAAAUAUAUUGUUGAUAUGUUUGGUCAAAUGACCUACAUAUUAAAAAACUAAUAUUGAAAAAAAUAUAAAACCUAUUGGGAGAAAAUCCCCCCCUAAACAAAGACUCUUUAAUGACUACAUUGUGCAUGUUGUGUUGUUGUAUGAGAAGGGUUUUCUAUUUAUAGAUUCCCAAAACCUUUCCUCCAAAAAUGAGAUUUGUCAAAUAUGAAAAAGUUUUAUAUUUUUUUUCAUGAAAAUUAAAGUAAUUAUGGUAUUACUUUUAUUUUCCUUCUAAGAUAAAUAAAACUUAAAUUUGGUAAGAAAAUCAGGACAAAAAUCCUAACGCAUAACUCCAACUCCAUUUUCAACUUUAAAAAUAUAAAAUAAAGUGAAUAUUUUUUAAUUUUCAUGGUCAGGCGGGUCCAUUUGAUCCAUAUACCAAAAAUAAAUGUUUAGUUUACUCCUUCCGUUUCGUUUUACUUGACCUAUAUGCUAAAAGUAAAUUUUUUUUACUUAUAACUUGUCAACUUAUGAAAUUAAGAGAAUAUUAUUAUUUAUUUUUCUUUCUACCCUUAGCAUUAAAUAAGUACAUAAGUUAAUGUAGUAGUUUAAUUUUAGUAAACGUCAUAAGCAGGGUUAGUUUUGUAAAAUACAUCUUCAAUUAAAGAUUUCUUAAGGGUGCGACAAGUAAAUUUGGUUCAAGUAAAAUAAAACGGAUGGAGUACUUGUUCACUUUAACAAAUUAAGAAAAUUUAAUUAUAUUUUUUCAUACUAUCCUUAUUAUUUUAGUUACUACAUAAAAUAGUAGUAAUCAAAUGUAUAGUUCUAAAAUAUUUUAGUUACUACAUAAAAUAGUAGUAAUCAAAUGUAUAGUUCUAAAAUAUUUUAGUUACUACAUAAAAUAGUAGUAAUCAAAUGUAUAGUUCUAAAAUAUUUUAGUUACUACAUAAAAUAGUAGUAAUCAAAUGUAUAGUUCUAAAAUAUUAUUAAUAAGAUUAAUUUAGUAAAACACCUCUAAUUAAAAAAAAAAUUAAAAGGUUGCCGGAUCAAAAAAGAUCAAAUAAUAUGAAAGGAAUGAAGUAUCUUCUUUAUAGGUUUAUAUUAAGCGUUUGUUUAUUCAUGACAUCAGUAGUUUAAAAAGGUUAUCUUUAAUUGCUUCAUACUGAAAAAUCAGAAAUUAAUUAUUCCCUUGGUUCACUUUUAUUCGUCUAUUAUUGGACUUUGCGUGCCUCUGACGAAACAACAAUUAAUAUAGUAUUUACCCUAUUACUUAUAUUAAUUGAUGUAUAGACUUAGGUCUAAAGAUUAUUUCAGAAGUUAAAAGUCAGUUUCUUAAAGAUUAAACAAAAAUAUAUUUAAUGAAUUAGAAAGUCAGAUACAUCGUGAAGAGAACAAACUACUACUUAACUAGGAAACCGGAAUUCAACUGUUACAUUGAGAUAGGGGUGAGGUCAACUCCAAUAGUUAUUAUAGUUAAAAGUCAGAGACUUGUGAAGGAACCAAACUAUGGCUAACUUACAAACCAAAAGUCCACCCUUAACGUGAUCGUAACGUCGUUUAAUUAACUAUAAUUUGUCUUAAGAAUAUAUCAUCAUCAAUGACCUGAUAUGUUUGGUUUGGUUGUGUUAAUAUAGGUAUAUGUGACCAAACAUGUAUAUAUUUAGCAUAUAACAAAACAUAUUAGGUCUUUAUUUUGUAAAAAAGGAAAAAAAAUAAAAAAUUAGAAGUUUAGGUCGUUAAUGAUAUUUUACUCUCGUACAAAAAUCACUCUACAGACAUUAAUAAGCCUGUUGAAAAUUAGGGGUCCUUUGGUACAGCGUGUUAAAAAAUUUAAUGCAUGUAUUAUUCUUGUGUACUAGUAAUAUCUUGUUUGGUACUUUUUUUAGCCUAUGUAUAACUAAUGUUUGUAUUUAUUACACACUCUAUUGUGUAUUAAGCAAUGUAUUACUAAUAUCACCAAUUUUUUAUGUAUUAAUAAUAUAAAGAAUUUUAAUACAUGCAUUAAUUUAUUAAAUGACAAAAUUAAAAUCCGGAGCCAAAAGGGCUCUUCUUUUUAUCAAGAAUACCAAAGGUGAUAAUUAAAUUUGGAAAAAACUAAAACGGACAAACAGCCUGAGGAAUAACGACUUCUAAGUCGCCGGCCCAUCCGCGACUUGCAAAGAAGCACAGUACGGGCUGCUGUUUGUCAUCUGUGCAGUGUUGACUAAAGGAAAAUGUUUGUAUUCAAACACCAAUAAAGAAAAAGUACUUGUACUUUGCAUAAAACUAUCAAAUAGUUUUGCAAAACUCAAAAAUACUUUUCUCACACUCACAAAUUUAUUUGUGGUUUGUACUCUCUCCAUUUCAAAAUAAUUAAAUUAUUGGUGUAUUUUUUAUAUUCAAAAUAAUUGAAUUGUUUAUUGUUCAAGAUAGAUGUUGGAAAUUUUUUUUGAUUUUACCCUUCAUUAAUUAAAUUUUCAAGGAUAAGUUCCAAUGAUCAUUACUAAUGUUUUGGAGUUUGAAAAGGAUAAAAAUGAAAAAACAUAAUCAAUUUAUGUCUCUAUCUUUUUUGUAAGAUGUGUGUCAUAUUCCAAUAAUUCAAUUAUUUUGAAACGGAAGGAGUAUAAGAAAAGCAUAGAUAUGAUGCUAAUGGUAAUAUUUUUCUCAUGAUAUUUCUCAUGUAUAAGGAUGAUGUAUAAAUGGACAAUGUAUAAGGAUGAUGAUCGUAGAUGGGGCGCCAUGACGAUAAAAUAUUUGCCCCAACCCAUUUUCCGUAGUACCUACAUCUUCGUUCUACUAAAAUAAUCUUCCUUCUACUAAAAUACUUCCCCCAAGCCAUUUUUCAUAGUACCUGCAUCUUCUUUCCAUGGUAAUACAACUUAAAACAGCCUCUCUUUUUAUUUUAUUUUUUUUUGAAAACUCCAGGAAAAUCCGUAGCUGUUACACCCUCUUCCCCUCGGGUGAGCACUGUGUGUGCACUGGGUAAACCCCUCACUGUGCAAUAGCUCGCAAACCGCACAGAAGAUGUAAACCGCACUCGGUAAACCCCGUGCGACAAGCUCGAUUGAGAAGGCAUUAGGGAUGGAUCAAACCCGCGACCUUUGCUAUGGGAAGUCCCCCUCAAACCAACUCAACCACCCCCUUGGGGGCCUCUCUUUUUAUAUUAUCAAAAAAGAAUUGUGAGAAUAGCAACAUGGACAAUGACUAGAAUAGUGAAUUACGUGCAGCGAUAGCAGUGUGCGGCUUAUUAUCACACUAUAUUUUCUUCUUUCUUUUCGUUAAUCAGAUUACUCUUCUCCACUAAAAUUGGAUAUUUGGUUAUUGGGUAUGAAUUUGAAAUUGAAUUCUUUGUUUUUAGAGUUUAUGAAUCUAGGUAAAAAAGAUUUAGGUUUGAAGUUUUGAAUUUGUUUAAAUUGGUAAAGGGUUGAAUGUUAAGGUUUCAAUUGCUUUAAAAAAAAUCAGACAAAGAAAGUUAAAAGGGUAUUUUUGUUAAUAAAUAUUUUUUUUAUAAAAAUUAUAAUAUAUAUAUUGUUUCUAAUACAUCAAACCAAACAAUGUAUAAGAAAUAAUGUCAACAUAACUAAUGCAAGCACAACUUAUACCUACACUACUUAUGCAACCAUUACUAAUACAUCAUAUUCAACAUUAUUCUUAUACACUUUACCAAAUAAUCCCUAGAGUGAUGGCAUGUUGGUCCUUGAGCACUACUGAUUCAUGAGGUUAUGUCAAUAAAUUCCUAAGUUUAUACACACCAAACCUGAGAAGGUUCACUCUUUUUGACAGGAUGAAUCAACAUUUCCAUUUAAUAAAGGAGAAUCAAGAAAAAAGUGUGAUGUAGUAAUAGAUAGGAUUUUAUUUCUAACCUCUCAGUAACCAAUAUCAGGUGAGACAGAAAUUAUUUAGUCGGAAUUUUGAUGGUAAAAAAGAAACAAGAUCCUUAAUUAUUCAGAUCAUACUCAAAUCAUAUGUAUUGGUCAAUAUAAUCUUGUAUAUGUACCUAUUCUCCACGAGAACACGAGAAUUCUGUUUUUUUUUGUUAAAACGGCUAAGAAAAAAAAUCUACCAUUCCACUAAACUCUAUUCAAGAACUCAAGAAUGAACUAAUGUCCUAUUCAAGCAUCUCAAUAGAAAUCCCCGGAAUGGUAUUUUCCGUCGAAAUAACAUUCUUGCUUAUCUCGAUGAUCCUCGAUACAGAAGAGAAGAGUUCAAUCAAAAAAGGUCCAUAAAUAGGAGUACGGGGAAAAUGAAUUUUCUAUGUAAUUCAGUUGUUCUUAUAUGACACUACAAAAUUUUACAUCAAUGUGGGGAUGAAUAGUUCAAGUUAGCUUCAGAGUGCUUUCUGGUCUAGUCUCUCAUUCCAAUUCAGGCAGCGGAUCAAGCUACCAAACCAAUCACCUGUUUGGUCAGCCUUCUUGACUGUAGGAAGUGGAUGCUGGCUCAUACAUAUUCGAAUAGAAUCUCCUCUAGACAGUUGUUGUCGUCUCUUCCCAUCAAAGGAGACCCAAGCAUUGUUGCGUGCAUCCUCUGAAAUCUGUUUACAUGCAAAUCACUUAAGCUUCUAACAGAAUAGCAUGAAAUAAAGCAGUUGUGCCUUUGCUACCAACUCGAUACAUCCCACUGAAUCACGCAGAUUUCAUGGUGUGACAUCAAAUAUAUGCAUUCAUACAGGUGCCAAUAAUCAAAAAAAAGGGCCGACCCAGUUCAAUACCCACUUCGUGGGUGACUGGGGAAGGGAAUACUCUAGGCAGUCUUACCCCUGCUUUGCAGGGAGGCUGAUUCGAACCCCCGACCUGACACUCCACGGCAAGCAAGCUUACUGCUGAGCCAAGCCGUCCCUUCUCAGGUGCCAAUAAUCAAACAAGAUAUAAUGUUGUGCAUCAAGAAAUUGGACAUAGGUGCCAAUCGUCAAACAAGAUAGUUGUAUACAGGAUUUUUCACCAAGAGUACUCGACUCAGACAAAAUUUAAAGCAUCCUAAGAAAUGUAAAGUAAUUUAGAAAUCAUAUCAAUCUCCUUUUAAGAAUAUUGGCAAGUACAUCUUCUAGAAGGCUUAUAAAAAUCAAGCACCGCGCCGUCAACAGCAUUUAAAGAAAUAAAGAAUGAGGCUGUAGCUUAUGUUCGUCUCUUUACAGUCUCAAAGUAUUACAGGGCAGCCCGGUGCACUAAAGCUCCCGCUAUGCGCAGGGUCCGGGGAAGGGCCCGACCAAUUAGUAGUUGCAUAUGCAGAAAUGUGAACUGAAGGCAGUGUUUCUACAACAAUAAAUGCGAAAGAGACGACACCUAAGGGGCUUUAAAUGAACUGGCAAGCGAAGCACACACUUCUUCAAAGUGAAGCGCUCAAUUAAUGAAUUACUUAAAAUAUCUAGCACGAACAAAUUACAGCAUAAAGCAUCAGAUUGCAACAUUCAUUAUAAACUAUUGACAAUAAUAGUCAAACAACUCAAAUGAACAUCAUUGAGAUGUAAUUUCAACAGCAGCAAGAAAUUAAUUAUCAUAAAAUUGAUUUUCAACUUCUGAUUUUGACAAAUCAACCAUAAGAAUGAAUUAGCUAGCAACAUUCAAUAUAGUAACUUGCCCACGGGAGUAGAGGAGAAAUCAAAGAGAAGUCCAAGAUCAGAAGCAGCAGAAAAAAGGACGCACAUUGUAGAAGAAGAAAAAAAUUAUUGAUGUUGUAGAGAAUAUCCCGUUGUAGGCAAGAGUAUGGUUCUCUACAAAAGACAUCGAGUGGCAUGUGGAAGACUAGUCCUCAUUUGUAAUAAAGUAUAUUCCAUCCCUUCAAAACUCUCCCAUUUCUCUCUCCAAACUACUUAUACAAGCACCAACGAUGCUACAUUGAAUACUCUUGCCUCUUCUUUUCAUCAUUGUGAAUGAACAUUAGUAGUCGUGGCAUUAUUGUGGCAGACUUCUCUUAAUGUAUGCCGAACAAAUUCUGCACUAUCCACCACUAUCCGCCUUAACUGGCUCUUUACUUGCCCAAGCAAGAAUAGGUGGUUCAACAUUUACACAUGUAACACCACCUAACAUAUGCUCUUUCUUUCUCAAAUUGCAGCUGAAUAGCCCCUUAGUUACUUGCCUAGUAAAAAGGAAAAAUUUCGUCUGAGUUUUAAAUUCAAUAGUUAAGAAUAUGGAAUCGCACUUCCCUUUCUCCUAAAGGAUUGUGUACAAGCACCAUUCUUUUUUCCUUUCCAUAUCCAUUUGUAUAAUAAAGUGUAAUAAAGUUUUGGAAUUCAUCAGCUUCCCAGUUCUGUAGGAUUCAUAUAAAGAGUUUCUCCAUUGUGUAUAUUAUGUACUUGGGCAAUUGUCUUUUUCUGUCUGCUAUCUAUAUACCAACUACAGUUGGGGAAAAUUAUCAGAAUGUCAGCACCACAUCAUUAUUCUUGCAAAAACCGGACUUAGUGUUUACAUCCAACCUUGAUUUCAAAAACAGACUGUGCCAUCAUAACUAACUAUCCGUUCACUUUCCCUUCUCGUCUCUAUAUUCCCCCAACUCAUUCAGCUGCAUAAGUGCCCAAAAAGUAAAAAUAUAAUGUAUUAAAGUACUAGCACUAGCAUUUAAAAGUAAUUUAUUCCAUAAUUAUUAAUUCACUGAGAAGGACACCUUUAAUACCAGCCUUGCUGAGUCUGGAAGAGUGACGGUCUGGACGAGAGUGAGCGUGGGCAGCUUGGUGUGAAGAUCAUGCAAGGAACACUUGGGUGCACCUGCAUGAGAUCUGUCUACUUCUAAGCUUGCUAUUUUAUUAUUCCUUUAACUUUCAUUCUUUUGAAACCAAAGAAAGCCAUCCUUAAAAUAAGUUGGUUAUUUUCUUUUGAUAGAUACCCUUGCCAAUGGCAGUAAGAGCCAAAAUAACUUUAAAUUAUUUUCUGAAGUCACAACUUAUCAAUCUGUUUUUUGCUUUUAAUGGAUCCAUCCCUCAAACUCUUUUUCACUUAAGCACCCUCACUUGUUUCAGUAGUAAGGAUUCUAACUCAUGACAAGUGGUUAGAAUACAUUCCGCGUUUUACUACCUCAGUCAUUGAAUCAAUGACCACGAGGUAAACAAAAGACAACUAAGUUAAACAAAGAAGAAUCAUCCCACUUUCAUGGAUUGGUUAUCACAUAGUUCAAGACGUCCUCCUAAAGCACACAACUAUAGGAUCCUGAGUUAAGAGAUCACUAAUGACCAAGAUACACCAAUUCUCCUAUAUUCCUACUCAAAUAUUGUUUUUUCAGUUAUUACUCUUCCCUUUUUUUUUUUGGUAAAUAGUUCCAAUUCAGUUAAGGUAUUCAUUAUAGGGCUUAUAAUUAGGAAACUAGGUCCAAAAAGCAGCAGUGCCCAGAAAGUAUUAACGAAUAUCAAGGUAAUAGCACUAGUAAUUAAGAGAACUUAUUUUAUGACUAUUAAAAUAUUUACUGAGAAAGUCACCUUUAGUUCCAGCCUUGCAGAGUCGGGAAGAAUCACAGAUCUGAAUGAGAGUGAAUGUGGGCAGAUUGGUGUGAAGAGCAUGCAAGGAACAUUUGGGUGCACCUGCAUGACAUAAAUUUCCUUGUGAUAUACUAGUCUAGCAUCCAACUUGGUCAAGACAAAACAAUCAACUAAAACUAACCAGAAGGAGCACAAUUUUGAGUGGUGCUUCAUCAACAAUCAAAUGAACGACAAACAUAUGAUUUCCAAAAUUUACAAAUAGAUCAAUAGCAAAACCAACUCACUACAAGAUGCAAUUUGAAGAUUGCGAGAGUGAAAUGAAAGAAAUCAGAAGGAAGUCUUCACAAAGCUAAAACUGCUUAGUAGUCCACUGAAAGCUCAUUUGUUUAACAUAGUUCCGCCAAUUUGUUUUUGAUGCCGAAAAACAGUUCAUACUUGCUGACAACGUGAUUGACUGCUGCAGUUUAUGGCCUUAUUGCACACAUUGACACUAAGAGUGACAGUUUAUGAGAUAAUUUUAUGAUAUCCACUAUUCUCAAUCAGUAAAACAAAUAUGAGCUGAAGACAAGAUUAUGCAUUUAUUGCUUUAUCAUGAAUAAUAAGUAGGAAGAGAAAAGAAGUAAACAACUUGAUCAAUAUUAGAUUAUGUACAGCAGCUAAGAACCAUAAACAUCAAUACCACUGAAUACAGAACCAUAUAAAGAAGUCUUGCCGUUGGUGUUUUUGGUAAUCAAUGAUAGGUUUUCAACCUUUUCCAGAAAAAUCAAUAGUAGGUUUCUAAUCAGGAACCCAAAUGCGACUAACUCAGCAGCUUUCACCCACAUAUUCAAAGUAAUCUUUUCAUCUGUUUCAGUUUUAGUGUCCGCUUGCAUCCCUCCAUUUCCACAUCAAGAGUUAACUAUUGUCAUGAGGAAUCACUCUUCUACCAACAGCUCUUUAAAAUAUGUCAUGAAACUUAUAAUCUUUACUAUAUUAAGUGCAUAAUGCAGUCUUCUUUAUUUUCCUAUCUCUUCUGCUCCUAUUUCGUCUAGAGAGGGGAAGGAGUAGUGUACUGCUUCUCUAAGGUUCUUUUUCAGCAGUUCAUUAUUGCCACAACAAACUGCUCAAGCUGUAAACCCUCACAACUUACAACCGCUGUAAUUCAGCUUUAGCUUAUUCUUUGCUGUGGAUGCAACUCAUUGCUUGUGGCAUUUUCAGCACACAUAUGUUCAACUAUUCAUGUAGGUUAAAAAGGUUCACAUCUUUCAGGCUAUAAUAGGUACCAUGGAACCUCCAGCAGCCGUAGACUAAGCCGUACUUCCAGUUGGUGUGGCUACUAUAACCCCAUCAGCUUGCACCUGCCAAAUAACAUAAAUGGAGUCAGGUAUCUCCAUAUUCUCUAGCUCCGUAAUCAAGUGGAUACUUGUUGAAAUAAAAUAGGAAGAUCCAUAAAGCAUAUGAAAAAUGGGAUUCUUUUGUUCUUCUCAAGGGGCAGUGGGGUGGCUGGCAGUUACGAAAAUGCACCUUUGUAAUGAGGCGGUCAUGUUCAUAACACUCAAUUUUGGAGAGAAGGAUUAGAACCACGAUCAACUACAACUUCAUUUAGGACAUCGAACACAUUUAGGACAUCGAACACCUUUCCAGGCAUUGCCUUCCCAUUUCUGAAUAUUUCACAUCGAAGACGCAUUCGCAGAGUUAUAUAGACACCAUCCAGAGUUCUGUUCCCAUGAAUGACAUGUCUUAGAUCCUUCUUAUAAUCCUCAAACUUUUAUGAAUUACUAAGAAGAAAAAGUAAGAGGAGAGACUUUCCAACUGAAUUAAGAAUUAAAUCAUAACAUUGUCAGUCAAAGAGCAUACUGUAUGGGAAGUGAGAAAUCCAAGGGAUCCUAGAUUAAAUGACACAACAGGUGGGAUAGCACCUCGAAAUAAUUUAGAAGCAUGGAGUAUAACUCCAUCUCCUCCGAGGCAGGCAACAAAAUCAACCCUUUCAUGAAGAUCACUGCAUUAGGUACAUCAGGCAAGGUUAGCAUUUUUCUCUGAAGUAAAAGAAGUGAACCGAGACAAACAAACAAAUACAUGAAUAAUGCUAUCUAUGCAAACAGUUUAUGAGUCAUCCCACCUGGUAUCUUGACUAUAAAAGGUCUGAACAAAUCCGAACCCUGGAAUUCGUGCAAAUAUAUCAUGCACCUCAGGUUCAACAAGAACAUUCAUUUUUUCUUGGUAAUACAAGAAAACAGCAACCUUCAAAGAAGAAUUAGAAAGAAAAUAGAAAAGCAAAUGAGUUAAAACUAUGAGAUAGUAAAUUACUUGCUAGAGAUACUUAUAUAAAGUAAAUGCAAGACCAAGUAUUAUAGAACGAUAGGGACAUUGUUUCCACUAUAUAAGCAUGCUGAAAAAGAAAAUAGUGAAUAGAAGUAUAUAUUUUCUGAAAUAUAGAACCUUCAACGAUAAGUUCGAUACAUGAAUCAUAGAGCUAUGCAAAACAAGCUGAAGUUGAACGUUCUCAAAAUGAGAAAAAAAAAUGGAGGAAAAUCCACAUGGCCUAAGCUAACCAAAAUUCACUUGGGAAAAAUUAGGAAAGUGACUUGCAUGACACUCAAAUCCAUCAUGUAGGAGGGAUGAAAGUCAGCGGAAAAGUUCAAAAUGAUUAGAGAAAACUAAUGGUCAUAUAUUCGUUUCUCAAGUUGGUUGGUGGAUACAAAAUUGGACAAAAGUAUAUGGAUUCAUAUUACAAAUGAUUGACAGUCACUACAAGUUCAUUCACAAAUUAACGGCAGCUUUUGUAAUGUGUUUGUUUAUGCUAAUAGGUUGGAAUAGUAUGACACGGGAACAUAUGCCGAGCAUAUUCCUUUUUUCUUUUUGCUGAUUAAGAAUAAACAGGAGCAAGCAGGCCCACUUGAUCUCUCAAUCUGGAAUUUUCAAAAUAUAUACAUCGAGUUUACAGAGUAGAAAAGAUGAUUGUGUGGCCCAGAAAUUUCAAGCGAGCCAAAAUAGAUGUCUUACUAUCAAGGAAAAUCCUUUGAGGUCUUCCUUUCAAUUGUGGAAAAAACAGAUAUGGGCCCUGCUAGAGUAAAUUAGCAGCUCUAUAAACCUACUGAUAACUGUAUGCAUCCUCACGAAAAACAAAUAGGGAGAGCAUAUCAAACAGAGUCCAAGAUCAAUUAAUGAUAACUGUGUACGCACCUCUUUGACUUCUUCCAAGAGUUCUUGUCCCAGCUUCUUUAGAAGGAGAACGGUCUUUGGCAGGGAUUUCCAUAAAAGCAUCUGCUGCUGGGUGCUAGGAUGAGUGAAGGCCAAGGAAGAUUCUGUUACCUUUUGAUACGGGAAUGACAAUGGAAACACGAAAUCACACUCCAAAAUCAGUCCACUAAUCUUAAGGAUUCGAGGACCAAGAUGGAGACCACACUCGGAUUCGCUACCAACAACAAGAAUACAAGAUACAAGGGUGUAUUUCAACACCAAAACAGCUAUAAAACGUGAUGAACAAUAUCAACAACAAUAACACAAGUUUCGGAUUCAAGAAAUGACCCAAAACAGUCCACUACACAAGAUAACAACAACAAAAGUAAAGGAUAGAUAGUGAGACCAAGAUUAUUACAAGAUUAAGAACUAAAGAGUGUAUUAAACUCAAAAACCCUAAUGAAUGUAAUACUCAAAACCACACUCUUACGGUGACCGCCAAGGGAAUCAACUCACCUCAAGAUCCACCGUUUCCAAGCAAAGAACAAUGUUAGCUUUUCCAAGCCCUAUACUAGAACUACACUAAGUUGGUCUAUUCUCAAGAGAGAGGAUUUUAAGUGUUUCAAUAUUUCAUCUUUCAUAAACUAAAGAGAAAAGACCAAAAAUGCACUACUUAUAGUAUAUUACAAAAGUAGACAAAAAGACCACAUUACCCUUAAUGACUAAGGGUGGCCUCGAUGUGUUGGAAGACAAUAUGAAUUGUCCAAAAUGCCCUUAAAGCUAAGUGACCAAAAUGCCCUUAGUAAAGGGAACCAAAACUGUGAAACAACAAAGGUGGUCCAAACCCGAGAGUCCUUAAGUCUUCAAGGCUCCAAGCAAUCUUCCACACUUGGGUUUGAUCAAUGGUAGGCUAAAAACGUCCCCUCCAAGUAUGAUCCCAUGCCCUCCAUGCGACCAAAGCUUGAUUCUUCACAUAGUGACUUUGAAUGAUGUCGUCAAAAGCUAAGGCGGUCAUUAUUCUUGUAUCAUCCUCCUCUUCUUGAAAAGGAUUCGACCUCGAAUCCAAACCUUGCAAAACUGAAGAGAGGGCAAACAAAUACAAACUCCUCAUAGCAUGAGGGUUAGGGUAAGCACAAUAAAUCAUCUCAACAUGCCAAGGUUGCACAUAUUUGCAAUAUAACCAAGGAUCCUUUGAAUUAAAUAUAAAAAUCUCAAUAAAAGGUUCACAAAGGAUAUGGUUACAGGAAUCACCAAGAGAUACAAAAACUACAUAGGUCCUAAUGGCAUCAAAUAAUCCACAAGGUAGAACUUCCUUCAUCUUAUGAGCCAUAAGACACCAUUGCUUCUUUAUCUCGUCAAAAGACCACACCAAGGGGGUGUUUCGAUUGGUUCUAAAGUCCAUAAAAUCCAUAUAGCAUUAUCACACACACACAUGGACAGACCAACAAACUUCCUACCUCNNNNNNNNNNNNNNNNNNNNNNNNNNNNNNNNNNNNNNNNNNNNNNNNNNNNNNNNNNNNNNNNNNNNNNNNNNNNNNNNNNNNNNNNNNNNNNNNNNNNNNNNNNNNNNNNNNNNNNNNNNNNNNNNNNNNNNNNNNNNNNNNNNNNNNNNNNNNNNNNNNNNNNNNNNNNNNNNNNNNNNNNNNNNNNNNNNNNNNNNNNCACAUUCUUUCCUUCAAAAAACUAGACAACUUGGCAUCCACAAGUUGGAAUUCAUGCAAUUUAGGCACAAGUGUGUCAAAUAAGGAUGCACAUUUAGAAACAUUACCCCAAGGAGUCAAUGACACAUUUGUCCUCGAGUUUUCACGAAGGACUACACAUUCCUUAUCCAUAAGAGUACUCUCUUCUUUCAAAAAGAGAUUUCCAUCUUUAGGAGGAAUAUUGUCACACCAUAGUGGGUUAGCAUAUCGGCUAUAGCUUCCAAGGCAAGCUAUACCUUCAUUUUCACCACUAGGCUCAUUAGGAGUGUUUAUAUCAUCUUCAAAUAAGACAUUAUANNNNNNNNNNNNNNNNNNNNNNNNNNNNNNNNNNNNNNNNNNNNNNNNNNNNNNNNNNNNNNNNNNNNNNNNNNNNNNNNNNNNNNNNNNNNNNNNNNNNNNNNNNNNNNNNNNNNNNNNNNNNNNNNNNNNNNNNNNNNNNNNNNNNNNNNNNNNNNNNNNNNNNNNNNNNNNNNNNNNNNNNNNNNNNNNNNNNNNNNNNNNNNNNNNNNNNNNNNNNNNNNNNNNNNNNNNNNNNNNNNNNNNNNNNNNNNNNNNNNNNNNNNNNNNNNNNNNNNNNNNNNNNNNNNNNNNNNNNNNNNNNNNNNNNNNNNNNNNNNNNNNNNNNNNNNNNNNNNNNNNNNNNNNNNNNNNNNNNNNNNNNNNNNNNNNNNNNNNNNNNNNNNNNNNNNNNNNNNNNNNNNNNNNNNNNNNNNNNNNNNNNNNNNNNNNNNNNNNNNNNNNNNNNNNNNNNNNNNNNNNNNNNNNNNNNNNNNNNNNNNNNNNNNNNNNNNNNNNNNNNNNNNNNNNNNNNNNNNNNNNNNNNNNNNNNNNNNNNNNNNNNNNNNNNNNNNNNNNNNNNNNNNNNNNNNNNNNNNNNNNNNNNNNNNNNNNNNNNNNNNNNNNNNNNNNNNNNNNNNNNNNNNNNNNNNNNNNNNNNNNNNNNNNNNNNNNNNNNNNNNNNNNNNNNNNNNNNNNNNNNNNNNNNNNNNNNNNNNNNNNNNNNNNNNNNNNNNNNNNNNNNNNNNNNNNNNNNNNNNNNNNNNNNNNNNNNNNNNNNNNNNNNNNNNNNNNNNNNNNNNNNNNNNNNNNNNNNNNNNNNNNNNNNNNNNNNNNNNNNNNNNNNNNNNNNNNNNNNNNNNNNNNNNNNNNNNNNNNNNNNNNNNNNNNNNNNNNNNNNNNNNNNNNNNNNNNNNNNNNNNNNNNNNNNNNNNNNNNNNNNNNNNNNNNNNNNNNNNNNNNNNNNNNNNNNNNNNNNNNNNNNNNNNNNNNNNNNNNNNNNNNNNNNNNNNNNNNNNNNNNNNNNNNNNNNNNNNNNNNNNGGAGAAGACAACUUUGACCCUCUCGGUAACCUUAAACCCGUCCAAGAAGUAUGGAACGAGUAAAGGCUCGCAAAACAACCCCAAGUAGUCAACCAUGGAUGGAACGAUGUAGUUUCUAUAGUACCUAUCAUUUAACACAACGAGGCAUCCCGGUAUCCCACAAAUGGUCACCUUUCCGGAGUGUACACUCCUUCUUGGAUCAACAUUAUAAAGGACACAAGUACCCCUCGGUUUUGGAGAUGCAUACCCUCUUCUUCUCGUUGAACAACCUCCACUAGAGCUAGUAUAACCAUUCACACUAUAUCAAUCUUGAUAAGAAGUACUAUAAGGAGGAGAAUAUAAAUCUUCACACUCCUCACGUGCACUUUCAUCAUAGCUCUCAUAAGCUUUGCGAACGAAAGGGUAAUACCUAACACCAAAUCUAAGUUUGGAGUGAGAAGUGUAGGACUCCUCACAUGCCCCAACGUCAUGAUAAGAUCCAUCACGAGGUCCUAAAUCAUCUCCAAAGUCACCAUAAGCACUAGGCACUUCAUGCACCUCAUUUUCUCUCUCAAAACAGUAACUUUCAAAUCUUCCCAAGUUUCGAUCAUGGCUAUUUUUAUAGCCUCCGCAAUCUCUCUCAACUUCGUAGCCAUAAAACCCCUCACUACAACCAUAGUCUCCCAUGUUGUAGUCACAAUAAUCCCCGGCUAUCGAAGACAUAUUCCCCUUAUAUCACCUUUUGAACCUACAAAAUGAACAAACAAGAUUAGUAGUAAAAGCUCCUCACCAACACUCGUAUAUUCACUCACUUUUGUGAUCCUCACAAUUGGAGCGGCGAAUAUUGAAAGUUGCUUAUACUCCGGCAGUCAAUAAGAUAUCAAUUCUACUUGGCGGCCGGAAUGGAUUCUUGCUUGAUCGACUCAAGAAACAAAACAAAAUUUACUUACGAACUUGAAACAAAGAAGUUACUAAAAGUUAAAAAUGAGAAAAGCAAACAAAUAACGAAGACACGAAGAAACUGAUUCAAUAAUUAAACUACAACUAAGUAGGUGAUUAAUAGUUGUUAAUUAAUUCUAGAAUCAAGACAUGAAACUAAUGAAACAAUAAGCUGAAACUAAGAAUCUAAAAUUUGAGCUCGAAAAUAUUGCGUGAGCAGUAGCAGUGAUGACGUGGCAGCCACGUAUUGGUUCGGUCUUAUCAAGUGGUUAUUCUCAAAGGUUUAAGUCUUGAUCAAAAAUUAAUUUAGAUUGGUGGAAUUUGUUUUAGGAGGGAAAAUAAGUCUUGACGCCUUUUUUUCAAGUUUCAAAUUUCAAGACUUGACUUUUGUAGUACUUUUCCUUAAAACAUGGACCCUUGUUUCAUGGGAAAGUGGUUGAGAAGUGAUGUAAAGUCUUUAGUGUAUAGGAAAAGUCUUUGAGUCACAAGUACUACACCUUGAAACUUGGAUCUAUGUCUUGNNNN